CGUUGACAAUCUUGCUCAGAAACAGUAAUUAUUUUCCGUCAAAGAUAAAGUACACAGAAAUGCAGGCACAACAGAGAUGCAUGCAAGGGUGCCUAAAGUUGGCGUUGAUUAUUUGAUAUUUGAUUCAAGGAAUUAAGAUUCCUUGCAUAAAGCUUUUGUGCCCACUGCAUUUUAUGUUCCAUUCUUUGCUAAUUUAGAUUUUCUGUUCAAAAUAUAUGUCGCUGUUAGUUUCUGCUCGGUCGUUUAUUGUAUGUUCUCUAAAUUUUCUUAUCUUGUCCUGUUUUAUGAAGUAGACCUUUUUUCCCUUUGUUUCUUUUUUUUUUUUUUUGCAUUUUUAUUUUGGUAAAUUGGUCAACCACAUUUAUGACUUUCGGAAGAAAAUGCUUUCUCACAUGGUCUUCGACUGAUUUGCGCUAGGAGAAUUUGAAUUCUUUAUUGUGAGUCUGGCAGAAGAUUAAACCUUGUGUCCUAGUUGAUGUAGUCUGGCAAUUUGCAAAUCAGUCGUAUGUGACUGUUGAAACUUUGAAAAUAUGUGAUUCCGCUAGUUACAGUGAGUCAAUACUUCUCCUUACGCUCUAACUGUGAGGACUCGAAAUUUCUAUUAUUUUAAAAUUUCUAAUUUUGACUUAAUUAAUUAUUUAUUUGGAUUUUUGUCACGAAUAAUAUAUUCUAGCCUAUUAGAUCUAAGUACAUGAUUUUAUAGUUUGUUAUAUUUCUAAAAGUGUUUCAUUUUAAAAAUAAAAUAAAAAUAUAGAUAAAUAAACAAAUAUUUUCUUAUAAGCCUAUUUAGCGGAAAAAAAAAUGAAAAUGUGUCUAAAAAUUUUAGCCAAUUGGGAGUACAAUAAGUUAAAAAUUUGAGACCUAUACAAUGAACCUAAAAUAGACAAUUUAGGUUUAAAAACACGAGAAAUAACUAGUGGUUCGAUCGUUAUAAGAAUUUUUUAAAAGUUUCAAUUUUAUUGCGCCUAAAUUAGAAAUACGUGUUUUCACGUGCGCGCUUAAUUGGGAGACUUUGGACCAUUAUUUUGAGACAAUUAGGAAUGAAUAAUAUUUAUACAAAUGUAAGUGCCCUAGAGGUUUAGUGCACUAGUGCAACAAACGUAAGAGAAAUCGAACACAAAACGCGCGUGUAGGGUACUAGUUAUAAUUGAUUUGACGUAUUAAAAGAUUUGACGUCAAGCGUCUCUUGUACGCAAAGGCUUCGGAACCGCAAUUCAUUUCCUUUCCUCUGCUGCAAUGGACGGCUAGACUGCAACAAAGGAACAACCGAAGCUUCACCAUUUCUUUUCUUCCAAAACUCAACCAAAUUCCUACCAAAACUUCCAUAGAUUCUCACCAAACUUCACAUUCAUUUAGCUUUUCACUUGGACAACAACAUAGGCUGAAAAAGGAAGGAGCUUUCACGGUUUCUUCAAGCUUCAAAGGACCGAAAAAUCUGUCCAAACCAGCCAUCAAAGUAGGUAGCAAUCUAGCACCUUCAACUUAUCUUAUGGAAGUUGAUUUACGCAUUUGAGUUGGAAUCUUUACUUUAGUAGCUUGUAUUGUUGGAAAUGUGGGCUCUAUGAACUCCCACUUUGGGUUGAUGGCUGUGAUGAUGUUUGAUGAUGGUUUUAUUGCUGAAUUAGAGCUUAAGGAAGUAGAUUAAAGGUGUAUUGUGGCCAGAAACGUUGUUUCACUCUUGAAGCAAAAAGUUCCCAUUUUACCCCUGCUCUGUUCGGUCACUUUACUGCAGAUAAUUGAGGAUUUAAAGGCUUGAUUAUGUUGUUUACAUGUUGUAGAAGCUGUGUACAAAAUUUCGUUGAAAAAUAUUGAGUUUUGGUGGGUCAAACGAAUUUAUUUCAAAAACUAGUAAUCUGGAAAACGGUUUCGCCGUAAUCCAAACCAGUGGUUGUAUUUUGUCCAUAACUCCGUGCUCCGACGUCGAAAUCAAGUGCCGUCAGCGGCAUUUGAAACUAGACGUUCCCAUGUUUCCAACGGUGUAUAAUUCACAUUCUGGUUUCAUGUGUGUGAGCCACACCAUUCAUCUGAAGUCGACUGUCCUGUUUCUCCGUUCUGCCGAAAUGAUUUGUGAUGCUGCAACUUGAGGCUUGAUUUUGAACCAGUUGCAUGCCGAAACUUGAAACGAUUUCUUCUGUAAAGUUGUAGCCCCGUGAAUGUAUUUUCUAACACUAUCAACCAUUCCCAAUUCCGAGUUAAAUUGAGAGAGUUAUGAUCAAAAUACGGCGACUGCCUCAUUUUUGAAAACCUUAGCUUUGGACAGAUUGCCUUAAGGAUUUUUCCAAACUUUGGUUGAUUGAAUGACCACCCUUCCGAGGGUAUUUUUCCAUGAAAUUUGAUAGAGAGAUAACCUUCAUAUGGAAGUAUUAUACUGCAAAAUUUGGUGUCAAUCCAAGUCCGUUUCGGCACUUAACUAAAGGUCCAAAGUUGGAACCAAAUCUGGAAAUUUUGUAACAGUCUUGAAUUUUUCCCAACUUUGAGCUACCAUAUCUUGGUGCUCGAAACUCCGAUUCUCGAUCCGUUUGUUCUGCCCUAAACCUUACUUGCACCUCUAAUUGAACUAUAAAUUUCAAGGGCUGGUUUGCAACGAGUGAAUUCUGCCGCAUUUUCAAAGUUAGCGAAAAACCAACCCCGGCUCAUUCCUGGGUGAUUUGGAACAGCAACUUUAGGCUCAUUUUUGAGCACUUUCCACUUCGAUUCAUGAAAAAGUGUCUUCUAGGAACUUGCAGUACUUUCUAAGAGGUUUUCAACGGUAUAAAGUUUUCCAAUUCUCGACUUAUGUCGAGUGAGUUACGAUUUUUCAAAGAUUCAUAACAAAACUGAAAAUUUUCCAACUUUCAAGAAAAUAGAGUUUUUCAAGAACUCUUUAUUCUUUUGAUAUUAUCUAAACGUUUUAUCCCCGAUUUCCUAGAUAAAGACUUAAAUAUUGUUGAAUGUUAUCAAAUCUCUCUCGAACCUCGAUUUACGAGUAAUUGAGGUUCAUUUUCACGGAAUUUUCUAGAGUAAUACUAGUGAACGAAUUAUUCCUCGAUAUUUGGGAUAUGGGUGAUAAUUCACUAUUAUUUGCUCAGGCACGCACGAGGACCUCCAAGAGGACCCUACUGUGGAAGUUUGAACUCUUCCUCCAAUUUACUUGCUUGCAUAACUUGGUGAGUGUCAAGUGUAUGCCUACUUGAACUCUAAAGUCUUGAUUCAUGCUUGACUUACCUGAUUACAUGCUUAGCCUAUUUGAUUUUUGAAAAAAUGGAGUCGAGUGUGUACUUAAUCGCACUCGUUCUCAUUUGGCACAAAUGACUCAUGUCUAACAUGAUUUGCCUAAUUUACAUGACUUGAAAUGCCUGCUUAAACAUGUCAAAUGCUUGAAUACAUGAAAUGGUAUGCUAUGAUUGCAUACGUCGAUGGAGUGAAUCUCCUCGACAUUUACAUGACACAUGGGGGACGCCCAAACUCAUAGGCCGACCUUGGAACUCGAGCCGGCAUGGGAUUGGUCGGGAACCUCGGUGAACCAUGAGAUUCACAUGAUAAGCUUGAUCUAUUGAGAGAUCUCGCUUGACAUACUCGUAAAGUAUCGCCUUAUAAAUGUCGUGCGGGUCCGAAGUGGUGUAUGGUGGACGGAUGAGAAGUAAGUGGUGAACUACGGAUAUGAAAAUAUCAACCCAGUUGACGGAGAGUCAUCACGGGGAGAUAUACAAAUGACAUCGGCAAAUGUGGAACUUAGCUCCUGAGAGUUUCUAUAUCCUUGAAUUGUUUCUGGUUACAGUUUAUUGGUGUUAUUAAUUACUUGCAAGCCAAUACCUGAAUUGUUAUUUGGAGCUUGUUAUCUGAACUAUGUGUUUGCAUGUGUGUUCUUGGCCUCACGAGCGUUUUGCUCACCCUGUAGAUUUGUUUUCCUUAACAGGUUGAAUUCGGAGGUAAAAUGGAGCAGCCUCUUGAUGUACUUUUGUUUUAGGGUUGCUAAUACUUUUGUUAUGCCUUCGGCUUUGGAUUGUACUUUUGGUAUGGAAAUGUAACCUUUGGACGAAUUGUAUUUUGUGUACUGACGUGUGGUUUGGAGAAUGGUUGACUAUUAUUAAGUUUGAACGUUUCCUCAUUUAUUGUAUCUAAGUUUCGGUUUGUAUUGUGUGGUCCGGCUAUAAGUUGAAGGGAAUUGCUUGAGUCCUGGCGAGAGUUGGGCAGACGUCCCGCGGAUACCCUUUGGUUCCCCUUAGGGAGAAGUGGGGGCGUCACAGUUGGUAUCAGAGCGCUAGGUUAGAGAUCUAUAUGGGAAACAUAUUAGAUACUCUACCCUUAAGACUCGACAUGGGAUGACUUAGUCAUACCCUAAGUGAUACUUGAGGCGAACUAGCAACUAAGUUAGUCCUACCUCAAGUGACAAUUGGGAUGAACCAAUGAUUAGGUUAGGCAUGCAUUGCAGGAUAUUGGGACUAAAUAGAGAUUUAAAUUUCUAACCCAAAAGGUGCUAUUAUGUUGCAGGGAUGGACAACGGAAAUGGAGUUUCGACAACUAACGGGAAUGGCCAUGCUAAUGGUCAUAUAGCGCCUCCUAGGCCUAUCUUUUAUCGAGCUUUGGCUGGGGAAGCUCGAGUACGCUACUUCCCAUCUGACCAAUAUAUUCGCUGCUUUAGACUACACUGAGGAUAGGCGAGUGAAUUUCGCUGCUUUCCAAUUUAAGGGGGUAGCCCGUGCUUGGUGGGAUUUGAUAAAAGGAAAAUGGAAGAGAAUUCAAACCCCUUGGACUUGGGAUAAUUUCACAAAGGAAUUUAAUGAAAAGUUUCUUCCGCCCUUAAUCCAAGAGAAGAGGGAGGAUGAAUUUAUUAAGCUGAAACAGGGAACCCUUAGUGUAGCGGAGUAUGAAGGAAAAUUUACUAAACUUUCAAAGUAUGCUCCCGAACUGGUGACAAAUGAGCGAAAAAGGAUUAGACGAUUUGUUCAAGGACUUAAUGUGGAGAUACAAGAGGGCCUGGCCGCAGCCCAAAUCUUUACAUUUACUGAGGCUUUAGAGAAGGCACAAAGGGUUGAAAGUGCAAGGUCUCAAGUGAGAGACUUCCAUAGCAGAAAGAGAAACUUUUCUAGCCAUGCUUCUGGACAAGCUAGUAAAAAUGUACAGCCUUCCAAAAUGGGAAAAGGAAUGGGAGGACCAAGGACUGCUGGACCUUCGAGAGGAGCUUUAUCUAGAGGAGGUCGUAGUGGACCGACACAGGCAAGAAGGGCACCUUCUAGCGGUUCAGCGGUGACCCCUCAAGUUUCAUGUGGUUACUGCGGAAAACCAAACCAUUCUGAAAGUGAUUGUUGGAGGAAGUUUGGGAAGUGCCUGGCUUGUGGUAGUACCGAGCAUCACCUUGCGAACCGUCCAAAUAAAAUAAAGACGGGAGGUGAUACCCAAAGGCCAGAAAAGUCAGAUUCUAAGCAAACUAGUGCCGGAGGGAGUCGACCGAAAGUGCCGGCUAGGGUUUAUGCACUGGACUAUCAACAAGUUCCUGAGGCAACUGAGGUGGUAGAAGGUACGAUUCCGAUCUUUCACCGUUUAGCUAGGGUUUUAAUUGAUCCAGGUGCUACACAUUCUUUUGUAAACCCUAAAUUCAUGAGUGGGAUAGACUUGAAGCCAAUUAAAUUACCAUAUGAUCUAGAGGUUAAAACGCCUACUGGAGAUCAAAGUCUAAUUGCUAAUUUGGUGUAUCAAGAUUGUGAAAUCUGGAUUGGGGAACGAAAAUUAUCGGCUGAUUUGAUGGGAUUGAUGAUUAAGGGAUACGAUGUAAUUUUAGGGAUGGAUUGGUUAGCCCGUUAUAAUGCUCAGCUAAACUGUAGGACGAAGGUUGUGGAGUUGCGUAUUCCAGGAGAAGCAACCCUGAAACUGGAUGUAAAGGGUAAAUUAGUUUCGUCUGCACUUAUUUCAGGAAUUCGGGCUAGAAAGUUGUUAAGUAAAGGAGCCCAAGGAUAUUUGGCUUUUCUUAUUAACACCCCUAGUGAUAAGGUGAAAUUGGAGGACAUGCCUGUAGUGAAAGACUUUCCUGAUGUUUUUCCUGAAGAAUUGGAGUCCCUACCCCCGGAACGGGAAAUAGCCUUUAAGAUUGAUGUAACUCCGGGAGUAACCCCUAUUUCUAGGACGCCAUAUUGAAUGGCUCCAGCCGAAUUGAAGGAGUUGAAAUUGCAAUUGCAAGAUUUGUUAGAAAGAGGUUUUAUUAAAGAGAGUGAUUCUCCGUGGGGAGCCCCAGUUUUGUUUGUUAAGAAAAAAGACGGGAGUUUGAGGCUAUGUAUAGACUAUAGAGGUUUAAAUAGUGUUACAACUAAGAAUAAAUACCCCCUGCCCCACAUUGAUGAGUUGUUUGACCAAUUACAAGGGGCUGUAGUAUUUUCUAAGUUGGAUUUGAGGCAGGGUUAUUAUCAGUUGAGGAUUUUAGAGAAAGAUAUACCCAAAACUGCUUUUAACUCGAGAUAUGGGUAUUUUGAAUUUGCCGUGAUGCCAUUUGGGUUAACGAAUGCUCCUGCUGCUUUUAUGGAUCUAAUGCAUAGGGUCUUUAAACCUUAUCUAGACCAAUUUGUGGUGGUCUUUAUUGAUGAUAUAUUGGUGUAUUCUAAGAAUGUGCAAGACCAUGAGAAACACUUGAGAGUUGUUUUACAGACCUUAAGGGAGCACCAAUUGUAUGCUAAGUUUAGCAAGUGUGAAUUUUGGUUAAAAGAAGUGACUUUCUUGGGAUACAUAAUUUCUAAGGAAGGGAUUAAAGUGGAUCCAGUUAAAGUUGAAGCUGUUUCAAAAUGGAAACGACCGGAAAACCCUACCGAGGUUCGAAGUUUCAUUGGAUUAGCAGGGUAUUACCGGAGAUUCAUUCAGGAUUUUUCAAAAAUUGCUGGACCCAUGACUGAAUUGACCAAGAAAAAUGGGAAGUUUAUAUGGAGUCCCAAGUGUGAGGAAAGUUUUCAGGAAUUGAAAAGACGGUUAACAAGGGCACCUGUAUUAGGUUUGUCAAACGGAAAAGAUAGUUUUGUGGUUUACACAGAUGCUUCUAAGGAAGGAUUGGGUUGUGUUUUAAUGCAAGAUGACAAAGUAAUAGCAUAUGCUUCUAGGAAAUUGAAACCACAUAAAGGGAAUUACCCUACUCAUGAUUUGGAGUUAGCGGCUGUGGUCUUUGCUUUGAAGAAAUGGAAACAUUAUUUGUAUGGAGUAACAUUUGAGGUUUUUACAGACCACAAAAGCCUUAAGUACUUGUUUUCUCAAAAGGGGUUGAAUUUGAGGCAACGUAGAUGGAUGGAAUUUUUGGAGGACUAUGAUUGUACUAUCAAGUACCAUCCAGGGAAAGCUAAUGUAGUGGCCGAUGCCUUGAGUCGUCAAGUACAAAUGGCUGGAUUGAUGAUUAAGGAGUUUCAAUUAUUGGAAGAAGUGAGUUACUGGAAUCCUCGAUUGGAACCAAGGAAGGUAAUUUUAGAGAAUAUUAUAGUAACCUCCACUCUAUUGGAACGCAUCAAGGAAUUUCAAGAAAAGGACACGGAAGUGCAAAAAUGGGUGGAAAAGAGUAAAAUGGAAGACAAGACAGAUUUUAAUUUGGGGUCAGAUGGAAUAUUGAGGUUUCGGAAUCGAGUAGUUGUGCUAAAGGAUGAAGGGUUUAAAAGGGAAAUCUUAGAAGAGGCACACGGAUCAAAGUUUACGGUACAUCCAGGAGGGAAUAAAAUGUACCAGCACUUGAAGAGUCUGUAUUGGUGGGAGAACAUGAAGAAGGAAAUUGCCUAAUUUGUCCAAACAUGUUUAAUUUGUCAACAAGUUAAAGCCGAACAUCAGAAACCGUCAGGAUUUUUGCAACCCCUAGAAAUACCUGAGUGGAAAUGGAAAAAUAUCACUAUGGAUUUUGUAUCGGGAUUGCCCAGAACGCAGAGAGGCCAUGAUGCAAUUUGGGUAAUAGUGGAUAGAUUGACUAAAUCGGCCCAUUUUUUGCCGAUUAACAUGAAGUACCCGUUGGAAAAUUUGGCCAAAUUGUAUUUGGAUGAGAUCAUUAGGUUGCAUGGCAUACCUGUGAGUAUUGUGUCCGACAGGCAUCCGAGAUUUGUUUCGAGAUUUUGGCAAAAGAUGCAGGAGGUAUUGGGGACUAAGUUGAACUUUAGUACCAUUUAUCAUCCUCAGACUGAUGGACAGUCGGAAAGGACAAUUCAAACACUUGAGGACAUGUUAAGGACAUGUAUUCUGGACUUUGGAGAAAAUUGGAGUAGGUUUUUAACUUUAGUGGAAUUUGCCUACAACAAUAGUUUCCACUCUUCUAUUCAGAUGGCCCCGUAUGAGGCACUUUAUGGUCGGAAAUAUAGGUCUCCAAUUUGUUGGGAAGAAAUAGGUGAACGGAAGAUUCUAGAUCCGACCACAGUAUCUUGGAUUGAAGAAGCUAAUGAAAAGGUAAAGUCGGUACGACAAAGAAUUCAGGUUGCUCAGAGCCGCCAAAAGAGUUAUGCUGAUAAUCGGAAGAAAGAAUUGGAGUUUAAUGUUGGAGAUUUGGUAUUUCUCAAGAUUACACCUCUGAAAGCAAGGUUGAAGUCUGGGAAAGGAAAGAAGUUACAACCAAGAUUUGUAGGGUCUUAUAAGAUUAUCCAACGUGUGGGGAGUGUAGCCUAUAAGUUGGAAUUACCGCCGAGUUUAUCUCGAAUCCAUAAUGUGUUUCAUGUAUCUAUGCUUAAGAAGUAUCAUCCGGACCCUUCUCACGUCUUACAACCGGAAAAUGUUGAGAUUGAUGAGACCUUAACCUAUGAGGAGAAACCGGUUAAACUUCUGGAUAAGAAGGUAAAGGAAUUGAGGAAUAAACAGAUACCAUUAGUGAAGGUCCUCUGGAAGAACCAUGGGUUGGAGGAAGCAACUUGGGAGAUCGAAGAAGCAAUUCGAGGAAAGUAUCCAGACUUGUUCGUCAAUCAAGGUAAAUUUCGAGGACGAAAUUUCUUAAGGGGGAGAGGAUGUGAGGACUCGAAAUUUCUAUUAUUUUAAAAUUCCUAAUUUUGGCUCAAUUAAUUAUUUAUUUGGAUUUUUGCCACGAAUAAUAUAUUCUAGCCUAUUAGAUCUAAGUACAUGAUUUUAUAGUUUGUUAUAUUUCUAAAAGUGUCUCAUUUUAAAAAUAAAAUAAAAAUAUAGAUAAAUAAACAAAUAUUUUCUUAUAAGCCUAUUUAGCGGAAAAAAAAAUGAAAAUGUGUCUAAAAACUUUAGCCAAUUGGGAGUACAAUAAGUUAAAAAUUUGAGACCUAUACAAUGGACCUAAAAUAGACAAUUUAGGUUUAAAAACACGAGUAAUAACUAGUGGUUCGAUCGUUAUAAGAAUUUCUCAAAGGUUUCAAUUUUAUUGCGCCUAAAUUAGAAAUACGUGUUUUCACGUGCGCGCUUAAUUGGGAGACUUUGGACCAUUAUUUUGAGACAAUUAGGAAUGAAUAAUAUUUAUACAAAUGUAAGUGCCCUAGAGGUUUAGUGCACUAGUGCAACAAACGUAAGAGAAAUUGAACACAAAACGCGCGUGUAGGGUACUAGUUAUAAUUGAUUUGACGUAUUAAAAGAUUUGACGUCAAGCGUCUCUUGUACGCAAAGGCUUCGGAACCGCAAUUCAUUUCCUUUCCUCUGCUGCAAUGGACGGCUAGACUGCAACAAAGGAACAACCGAAGCUUCACCAUUUCUUUUCUUCCAAAACUCAACCAAAUUCCUACCAAAACUUCCAUAGAUUCUCACCAAACUUCACAUUCAUUUAGCUUUUCACUUGGACAACAACAUAGGCUGAAAAAGGGAGGAGCUUUCACGGUUUCUUCAAGCUUCAAAGGACCGAAAAAUCUGUCCAAACCAGCCAUCAAAGUAGGUAGCAAUCUAGCACCUUCAACUUAUCUUAUGGAAGUUGAUUUACGCAUUUGAGUUGGAAUCUUUACUUUAGUAGCUUGUAUUGUUGGAAAUGUGGGCUCUAUGAACUCCCACUUUGGGUUGAUGGCUGUGAUGAUGUUUGAUGAUGGUUUUAUUGCUGAAUUAGAGCUUAAGGAAGUAGAUUAAAGGUGUAUUGUGGCCAGAAACGUUGUUUCACUCUUGAAGCAAAAAGUUCCCAUUUUACCCCUGCUCUGUUCGGUCACUUUACUGCAGAUAAUUGAGGAUUUAAAGGCUUGAUUAUGUUGUUUACAUGUUGUAGAAGCUGUGUACAAAAUUUCGUUGAAAAAUAUUGAGUUUUGGUGGGUCAAACGAAUUUAUUUCAAAAACUAGUAAUCUGGAAAACGGUUUCGCCGUAAUCCAAACCAGUGGUUGUAUUUUGUCCAUAACUCCGUGCUCCGACGUCGAAAUCAAGUGCCGUCAGCGGCAUUUGAAACUAGACGUUCCCAUGUUUCCAACGGUGUAUAAUUCACAUUCUGGUUUCAUGUGUGUGAGCCACACCAUUCAUCUGAAGUCGACUGUCCUGUUUCUCCGUUCUGCCGAAAUGAUUUGUGAUGCUGCAACUUGAGGCUUGAUUUUGAACCAGUUGCAUGCCGAAACUUGAAACGAUUUCUUCUGUAAAGUUGUAGCCCCGUGAAUGUAUUUUCUAACACUAUCAACCAUUCCCAAUUCCGAGUUAAAUUGAGAGAGUUAUGAUCAAAAUACGGCGACUGCCUCAUUUUUGAAAACCUUAGCUUUGGACAGAUUGCCUUAAGGAUUUUUCCAAACUUUGGUUGAUUGAAUGACCACCCUUCCGAGGGUAUUUUUCCAUGAAAUUUGAUAGAGAGAUAACCUUCAUAUGGAAGUAUUAUACUGCAAAAUUUGGUGUCAAUCCAAGCCCGUUUCGGCACUUAACUAAAGGUCCAAAGUUGGAACCAAAUCUGGAAAUUUUGUAACAGUCUUGAAUUUUUCCCAACUUUGAGCUACCAUAUCUUGGUGCUCGAAACUCCGAUUCUCGAUCCGUUUGUUCUGCCCUAAACCUUACUUGCACCUCUAAUUGAACUAUAAAUUUCAAGGGCUGGUUUGCAACGAGUGAAUUCUGCCGCAUUUUCAAAGUUAGCGAAAAACCAACCCCGGCUCAUUCCUGGGUGAUUUGGAACAGCAACUUUAGGCUCAUUUUUGAGCACUUUCCACUUCGAUUCAUGAAAAAGUGUCUUCUAGGAACUUGCAGUACUUUCUAAGAGGUUUUCAACGGUAUAAAGUUUUCCAAUUCUCGACUUAUGUCGAGUGAGUUACGAUUUUUCAAAGAUUCAUAACAAAACUGAAAAUUUUCCAACUUUCAAGAAAAUAGAGUUUUUCAAGAACUCUUUAUUCUUUUGAUAUUAUCUAAACGUUUUAUCCCCGAUUUCCUAGAUAAAGACUUAAAUAUUGUUGAAUGUUAUCAAAUCUCUCUCGAACCUCGAUUUACGAGUAAUUGAGGUUCAUUUUCACGGAAUUUUCUAGAGUAAUACUAGUGAACGAAUUAUUCCUCGAUAUUUGGGAUAUGGGUGAUAAUUCACUAUUAUUUGCUCAGGCACGCACGAGGACCUCCAAGAGGACCCUACUGUGGAAGUUUGAACUCUUCCUCCAAUUUACUUGCUUGCAUAACUUGGUGAGUGUCAAGUGUAUGCCUACUUGAACUCUAAAGUCUUGAUUCAUGCUUGACUUACCUGAUUACAUGCUUAGCCUAUUUGAUUUUUGAAAAAAUGGAGUCGAGUGUGUACUUAAUCGCACUCGUUCUCAUUUGGCACAAAUGACUCAUGUCUAACAUGAUUUGCCUAAUUUACAUGACUUGAAAUGCCUGCUUAAACAUGUCAAAUGCUUGAAUACAUGAAAUGGUAUGCUAUGAUUGCAUACGUCGAUGGAGUGAAUCUCCUCGACAUUUACAUGACACAUGGGGGACGCCCAAACUCAUAGGCCGACCUUGGAACUCGAGCCGGCAUGGGAUUGGUCGGGAACCUCGGUGAACCAUGAGAUUCACAUGAUAAGCUUGAUCUAUUGAGAGAUCUCGCUUGACAUACUCGUAAAGUAUCGCCUUAUAAAUGUCGUGCGGGCCCGAAGUGGUGUAUGGUGGACGGAUGAGAAGUAAGUGGUGAACUACGGAUAUGAAAAUAUCAACCCAGUUGACGGAGAGUCAUCACGGGGAGAUAUACAAAUGACAUCGGCAAAUGUGGAACUUAGCUCCUGAGAGCUUCUAUAUCCUUGAAUUGUUUCUGGUUACAGUUUAUUGGUGUUAUUAAUUACUUGCAAGCCAAUACCUGAAUUGUUAUUUGGAGCUUGUUAUCUGAACUAUGUGUUUGCAUGUGUGUUCUUGGCCUCACGAGCGUUUUGCUCACCCUGUAGAUUUGUUUUCCUUAACAGGUUGAAUUCGGAGGUAAAAUGGAGCAGCCUCUUGAUGUACUUUUGUUUUAGGGUUGCUAAUACUUUUGUUAUGCCUUCGGCUUUGGAUUGUACUUUUGGUAUGGAAAUGUAACCUUUGGACGAAUUGUAUUUUGUGUACUGACGUGUGGUUUGGAGAAUGGUUGACUAUUAUUAAGUUUGAACGUUUCCUCAUUUAUUGUAUCUAAGUUUCGGUUUGUAUUGUGUGGUCCGGCUAUAAGUUGAAGGGAAUUGCUUGAGUCCUGGCGAGAGUUGGGCAGACGUCCCGCGGAUACCCUUUGGUUCCCCUUAGGGAGAAGUGGGGGCGUCACAGUUGGUAUCAGAGCGCUAGGUUAGAGAUCUAUAUGGGAAACAUAUUAGAUACUCUACCCUUAAGACUCGACAUGGGAUGACUUAGUCAUACCCUAAGUGAUACUUGAGGCGAACUAGCAACUAAGUUAGUCCUACCUCAAGUGACAAUUGGGAUGAACCAAUGAUUAGGUUAGGCAUGCAUUGCAGGAUAUUGGGACUAAAUAGAGAUUUAAAUUUCUAACCCAAAAGGUGCUAUUAUGUUGCAGGGAUGGACAACGGAAAUGGAGUUUCGACAACUAACGGGAAUGGCCAUGCUAAUGGUCAUAUAGCGCCUCCUAGGCCUAUCUUUUAUCGAGCUUUGGCUGGGGAAGCUCGAGUACGCUACUUCCCAUCUGACCAAUAUAUUCGCUGCUUUAGACUACACUGAGGAUAGGCGAGUGAAUUUCGCUGCUUUCCAAUUUAAGGGGGUAGCCCGUGCUUGGUGGGAUUUGAUAAAAGGAAAAUGGAAGAGAAUUCAAACCCCUUGGACUUGGGAUAAUUUCACAAAGGAAUUUAAUGAAAAGUUUCUUCCGCCCUUAAUCCAAGAGAAGAGGGAGGAUGAAUUUAUUAAGCUGAAACAGGGAACCCUUAGUGUAGCGGAGUAUGAAGGAAAAUUUACUAAACUUUCAAAGUAUGCUCCCGAACUGGUGACAAAUGAGCGAAAAAGGAUUAGACGAUUUGUUCAAGGACUUAAUGUGGAGAUACAAGAGGGCCUGGCCGCAGCCCAAAUCUUUACAUUUACUGAGGCUUUAGAGAAGGCACAAAGGGUUGAAAGUGCAAGGUCUCAAGUGAGAGACUUCCAUAGCAGAAAGAGAAACUUUUCUAGCCAUGCUUCUGGACAAGCUAGUAAAAAUGUACAGCCUUCCAAAAUGGGAAAAGGAAUGGGAGGACCAAGGACUGCUGGACCUUCGAGAGGAGCUUUAUCUAGAGGAGGUCGUAGUGGACCGACACAGGCAAGAAGGGCACCUUCUAGCGGUUCAGCGGUGACCCCUCAAGUUUCAUGUGGUUACUGCGGAAAACCAAACCAUUCUGAAAGUGAUUGUUGGAGGAAGUUUGGGAAGUGCCUGGCUUGUGGUAGUACCGAGCAUCACCUUGCGAACCGUCCAAAUAAAAUAAAGACGGGAGGUGAUACCCAAAGGCCAGAAAAGUCAGAUUCUAAGCAAACUAGUGCCGGAGGGAGUCGACCGAAAGUGCCGGCUAGGGUUUAUGCACUGGACUAUCAACAAGUUCCUGAGGCAACUGAGGUGGUAGAAGGUACGAUUCCGAUCUUUCACCGUUUAGCUAGGGUUUUAAUUGAUCCAGGUGCUACACAUUCUUUUGUAAACCCUAAAUUCAUGAGUGGGAUAGACUUGAAGCCAAUUAAAUUACCAUAUGAUCUAGAGGUUAAAACGCCUACUGGAGAUCAAAGUCUAAUUGCUAAUUUGGUGUAUCAAGAUUGUGAAAUCUGGAUUGGGGAACGAAAAUUAUCGGCUGAUUUGAUGGGAUUGAUGAUUAAGGGAUACGAUGUAAUUUUAGGGAUGGAUUGGUUAGCCCGUUAUAAUGCUCAGCUAAACUGUAGGACGAAGGUUGUGGAGUUGCGUAUUCCAGGAGAAGCAACCCUGAAACUGGAUGUAAAGGGUAAAUUAGUUUCGUCUGCACUUAUUUCAGGAAUUCGGGCUAGAAAGUUGUUAAGUAAAGGAGCCCAAGGAUAUUUGGCUUUUCUUAUUAACACUCCUAGUGAUAAGGUGAAAUUGGAGGACAUGCCUGUAGUGAAAGACUUUCCUGAUGUUUUUCCUGAAGAAUUGGAGUCCCUACCCCCGGAACGGGAAAUAGCCUUUAAGAUUGAUGUAACUCCGGGAGUAACCCCUAUUUCUAGGACGCCAUAUUGAAUGGCUCCAGCCGAAUUGAAGGAGUUGAAAUUGCAAUUGCAAGAUUUGUUAGAAAGAGGUUUUAUUAAAGAGAGUGAUUCUCCGUGGGGAGCCCCAGUUUUGUUUGUUAAGAAAAAAGACGGGAGUUUGAGGCUAUGUAUAGACUAUAGAGGUUUAAAUAGUGUUACAACUAAGAAUAAAUACCCCCUGCCCCACAUUGAUGAGUUGUUUGACCAAUUACAAGGGGCUGUAGUAUUUUCUAAGUUGGAUUUGAGGCAGGGUUAUUAUCAGUUGAGGAUUUUAGAGAAAGAUAUACCCAAAACUGCUUUUAACUCGAGAUAUGGGUAUUUUGAAUUUGCCGUGAUGCCAUUUGGGUUAACGAAUGCUCCUGCUGCUUUUAUGGAUCUAAUGCAUAGGGUCUUUAAACCUUAUCUAGACCAAUUUGUGGUGGUCUUUAUUGAUGAUAUAUUGGUGUAUUCUAAGAAUGUGCAAGACCAUGAGAAACACUUGAGAGUUGUUUUACAGACCUUAAGGGAGCACCAAUUGUAUGCUAAGUUUAGCAAGUGUGAAUUUUGGUUAAAAGAAGUGACUUUCUUGGGAUACAUAAUUUCUAAGGAAGGGAUUAAAGUGGAUCCAGUUAAAGUUGAAGCUGUUUCAAAAUGGAAACGACCGGAAAACCCUACCGAGGUUCGAAGUUUCAUUGGAUUAGCAGGGUAUUACCGGAGAUUCAUUCAGGAUUUUUCAAAAAUUGCUGGACCCAUGACUGAAUUGACCAAGAAAAAUGGGAAGUUUAUAUGGAGUCCCAAGUGUGAGGAAAGUUUUCAGGAAUUGAAAAGACGGUUAACAAGGGCACCUGUAUUAGGUUUGUCAAACGGAAAAGAUAGUUUUGUGGUUUACACAGAUGCUUCUAAGGAAGGAUUGGGUUGUGUUUUAAUGCAAGAUGACAAAGUAAUAGCAUAUGCUUCUAGGAAAUUGAAACCACAUAAAGGGAAUUACCCUACUCAUGAUUUGGAGUUAGCGGCUGUGGUCUUUGCUUUGAAGAAAUGGAAACAUUAUUUGUAUGGAGUAACAUUUGAGGUUUUUACAGACCACAAAAGCCUUAAGUACUUGUUUUCUCAAAAGGGGUUGAAUUUGAGGCAACGUAGAUGGAUGGAAUUUUUGGAGGACUAUGAUUGUACUAUCAAGUACCAUCCAGGGAAAGCUAAUGUAGUGGCCGAUGCCUUGAGUCGUCAAGUACAAAUGGCUGGAUUGAUGAUUAAGGAGUUUCAAUUAUUGGAAGAAGUGAGUUACUGGAAUCCUCGAUUGGAACCAAGGAAGGUAAUUUUAGAGAAUAUUAUAGUAACCUCCACUCUAUUGGAACGCAUCAAGGAAUUUCAAGAAAAGGACACGGAAGUGCAAAAAUGGGUGGAAAAGAGUAAAAUGGAAGACAAGACAGAUUUUAAUUUGGGGUCAGAUGGAAUAUUGAGGUUUCGGAAUCGAGUAGUUGUGCUAAAGGAUGAAGGGUUUAAAAGGGAAAUCUUAGAAGAGGCACACGGAUCAAAGUUUACGGUACAUCCAGGAGGGAAUAAAAUGUACCAGGACUUGAAGAGUCUGUAUUGGUGGGAGAACAUGAAGAAGGAAAUUGCCUAAUUUGUCCAAACAUGUUUAAUUUGUCAACAAGUUAAAGCCGAACAUCAGAAACCGUCAGGAUUUUUGCAACCCCUAGAAAUACCUGAGUGGAAAUGGAAAAAUAUCACUAUGGAUUUUGUAUCGGGAUUGCCCAGAACGCAGAGAGGCCAUGAUGCAAUUUGGGUAAUAGUGGAUAGAUUGACUAAAUCGGCCCAUUUUUUGCCGAUUAACAUGAAGUACCCGUUGGAAAAUUUGGCCAAAUUGUAUUUGGAUGAGAUCAUUAGGUUGCAUGGCAUACCUGUGAGUAUUGUGUCCGACAGGCAUCCGAGAUUUGUUUCGAGAUUUUGGCAAAAGAUGCAGGAGGUAUUGGGGACUAAGUUGAACUUUAGUACCAUUUAUCAUCCUCAGACUGAUGGACAGUCGGAAAGGACAAUUCAAACACUUGAGGACAUGUUAAGGACAUGUAUUCUGGACUUUGGAGAAAAUUGGAGUAGGUUUUUAACUUUAGUGGAAUUUGCCUACAACAAUAGUUUCCACUCUUCUAUUCAGAUGGCCCCGUAUGAGGCACUUUAUGGUCGGAAAUAUAGGUCUCCAAUUUGUUGGGAAGAAAUAGGUGAACGGAAGAUUCUAGAUCCGACCACAGUAUCUUGGAUUGAAGAAGCUAAUGAAAAGGUAAAGUCGGUACGACAAAGAAUUCAGGUUGCUCAGAGCCGCCAAAAGAGUUAUGCUGAUAAUCGGAAGAAAGAAUUGGAGUUUAAUGUUGGAGAUUUGGUAUUUCUCAAGAUUACACCUCUGAAAGCAAGGUUGAAGUCUGGGAAAGGAAAGAAGUUACAACCAAGAUUUGUAGGGUCUUAUAAGAUUAUCCAACGUGUGGGGAGUGUAGCCUAUAAGUUGGAAUUACCGCCGAGUUUAUCUCGAAUCCAUAAUGUGUUUCAUGUAUCUAUGCUUAAGAAGUAUCAUCCGGACCCUUCUCACGUCUUACAACCGGAAAAUGUUGAGAUUGAUGAGACCUUAACCUAUGAGGAGAAACCGGUUAAACUUCUGGAUAAGAAGGUAAAGGAAUUGAGGAAUAAACAGAUACCAUUAGUGAAGGUCCUCUGGAAGAACCAUGGGUUGGAGGAAGCAACUUGGGAGAUCGAAGAAGCAAUUCGAGGAAAGUAUCCAGACUUGUUCGUCAAUCAAGGUAAAUUUCGAGGACGAAAUUUCUUAAGGGGGAGAGGAUGUGAGGACUCGAAAUUUCUAUUAUUUUAAAAUUCCUAAUUUUGGCUCAAUUAAUUAUUUAUUUGGAUUUUUGCCACGAAUAAUAUAUUCUAGUCUAUUAGAUCUAAGUACAUGAUUUUAUAGUUUGUUAUAUUUCUAAAAGUGUCUCAUUUUAAAAAUAAAAUAAAAAUAUAGAUAAAUAAACAAAUAUUUUCUUAUAAGCCUAUUUAGCGGAAAAAAAAAUGAAAAUGUGUCUAAAAACUUUAGCCAAUUGGGAGUACAAUAAGUUAAAAAUUUGAGACCUAUACAAUGGACCUAAAAUAGACAAUUUAGGUUUAAAAACACGAGUAAUAACUAGUGGUUCGAUCGUUAUAAGAAUUUCUCAAAGGUUUCAAUUUUAUUGCGCCUAAAUUAGAAAUACGUGUUUUCACGUGCGCGCUUAAUUGGGAGACUUUGGACCAUUAUUUUGAGACAAUUAGGAAUGAAUAAUAUUUAUACAAAUGUAAGUGCCCUAGAGGUUUAGUGCACUAGUGCAACAAACGUAAGAGAAAUUGAACACAAAACGCGCGUGUAGGGUACUAGUUAUAAUUGAUUUGACGUAUUAAAAGAUUUGACGUCAAGCGUCUCUUGUACGCAAAGGCUUCGGAACCGCAAUUCAUUUCCUUUCCUCUGCUGCAAUGGACGGCUAGACUGCAACAAAGGAACAACCGAAGCUUCACCAUUUCUUUUCUUCCAAAACUCAACCAAAUUCCUACCAAAACUUCCAUAGAUUCUCACCAAACUUCACAUUCAUUUAGCUUUUCACUUGGACAACAACAUAGGCUGAAAAAGGGAGGAGCUUUCACGGUUUCUUCAAGCUUCAAAGGACCGAAAAAUCUGUCCAAACCAGCCAUCAAAGUAGGUAGCAAUCUAGCACCUUCAACUUAUCUUAUGGAAGUUGAUUUACGCAUUUGAGUUGGAAUCUUUACUUUAGUAGCUUGUAUUGUUGGAAAUGUGGGCUCUAUGAACUCCCACUUUGGGUUGAUGGCUGUGAUGAUGUUUGAUGAUGGUUUUAUUGCUGAAUUAGAGCUUAAGGAAGUAGAUUAAAGGUGUAUUGUGGCCAGAAACGUUGUUUCACUCUUGAAGCAAAAAGUUCCCAUUUUACCCCUGCUCUGUUCGGUCACUUUACUGCAGAUAAUUGAGGAUUUAAAGGCUUGAUUAUGUUGUUUACAUGUUGUAGAAGCUGUGUACAAAAUUUCGUUGAAAAAUAUUGAGUUUUGGUGGGUCAAACGAAUUUAUUUCAAAAACUAGUAAUCUGGAAAACGGUUUCGCCGUAAUCCAAACCAGUGGUUGUAUUUUGUCCAUAACUCCGUGCUCCGACGUCGAAAUCAAGUGCCGUCAGCGGCAUUUGAAACUAGACGUUCCCAUGUUUCCAACGGUGUAUAAUUCACAUUCUGGUUUCAUGUGUGUGAGCCACACCAUUCAUCUGAAGUCGACUGUCCUGUUUCUCCGUUCUGCCGAAAUGAUUUGUGAUGCUGCAACUUGAGGCUUGAUUUUGAACCAGUUGCAUGCCGAAACUUGAAACGAUUUCUUCUGUAAAGUUGUAGCCCCGUGAAUGUAUUUUCUAACACUAUCAACCAUUCCCAAUUCCGAGUUAAAUUGAGAGAGUUAUGAUCAAAAUACGGCGACUGCCUCAUUUUUGAAAACCUUAGCUUUGGACAGAUUGCCUUAAGGAUUUUUCCAAACUUUGGUUGAUUGAAUGACCACCCUUCCGAGGGUAUUUUUCCAUGAAAUUUGAUAGAGAGAUAACCUUCAUAUGGAAGUAUUAUACUGCAAAAUUUGGUGUCAAUCCAAGUCCGUUUCGGCACUUAACUAAAGGUCCAAAGUUGGAACCAAAUCUGGAAAUUUUGUAACAGUCUUGAAUUUUUCCCAACUUUGAGCUACCAUAUCUUGGUGCUCGAAACUCCGAUUCUCGAUCCGUUUGUUCUGCCCUAAACCUUACUUGCACCUCUAAUUGAACUAUAAAUUUCAAGGGCUGGUUUGCAACGAGUGAAUUCUGCCGCAUUUUCAAAGUUAGCGAAAAACCAACCCCGGCUCAUUCCUGGGUGAUUUGGAACAGCAACUUUAGGCUCAUUUUUGAGCACUUUCCACUUCGAUUCAUGAAAAAGUGUCUUCUAGGAACUUGCAGUACUUUCUAAGAGGUUUUCAACGGUAUAAAGUUUUCCAAUUCUCGACUUAUGUCGAGUGAGUUACGAUUUUUCAAAGAUUCAUAACAAAACUGAAAAUUUUCCAACUUUCAAGAAAAUAGAGUUUUUCAAGAACUCUUUAUUCUUUUGAUAUUAUCUAAACGUUUUAUCCCCGAUUUCCUAGAUAAAGACUUAAAUAUUGUUGAAUGUUAUCAAAUCUCUCUCGAACCUCGAUUUACGAGUAAUUGAGGUUCAUUUUCACGGAAUUUUCUAGAGUAAUACUAGUGAACGAAUUAUUCCUCGAUAUUUGGGAUAUGGGUGAUAAUUCACUAUUAUUUGCUCAGGCACGCACGAGGACCUCCAAGAGGACCCUACUGUGGAAGUUUGAACUCUUCCUCCAAUUUACUUGCUUGCAUAACUUGGUGAGUGUCAAGUGUAUGCCUACUUGAACUCUAAAGUCUUGAUUCAUGCUUGACUUACCUGAUUACAUGCUUAGCCUAUUUGAUUUUUGAAAAAAUGGAGUCGAGUGUGUACUUAAUCGCACUCGUUCUCAUUUGGCACAAAUGACUCAUGUCUAACAUGAUUUGCCUAAUUUACAUGACUUGAAAUGCCUGCUUAAACAUGUCAAAUGCUUGAAUACAUGAAAUGGUAUGCUAUGAUUGCAUACGUCGAUGGAGUGAAUCUCCUCGACAUUUACAUGACACAUGGGGGACGCCCAAACUCAUAGGCCGACCUUGGAACUCGAGCCGGCAUGGGAUUGGUCGGGAACCUCGGUGAACCAUGAGAUUCACAUGAUAAGCUUGAUCUAUUGAGAGAUCUCGCUUGACAUACUCGUAAAGUAUCGCCUUAUAAAUGUCGUGCGGGCCCGAAGUGGUGUAUGGUGGACGGAUGAGAAGUAAGUGGUGAACUACGGAUAUGAAAAUAUCAACCCAGUUGACGGAGAGUCAUCACGGGGAGAUAUACAAAUGACAUCGGCAAAUGUGGAACUUAGCUCCUGAGAGCUUCUAUAUCCUUGAAUUGUUUCUGGUUACAGUUUAUUGGUGUUAUUAAUUACUUGCAAGCCAAUACCUGAAUUGUUAUUUGGAGCUUGUUAUCUGAACUAUGUGUUUGCAUGUGUGUUCUUGGCCUCACGAGCGUUUUGCUCACCCUGUAGAUUUGUUUUCCUUAACAGGUUGAAUUCGGAGGUAAAAUGGAGCAGCCUCUUGAUGUACUUUUGUUUUAGGGUUGCUAAUACUUUUGUUAUGCCUUCGGCUUUGGAUUGUACUUUUGGUAUGGAAAUGUAACCUUUGGACGAAUUGCAUUUUGUGUACUGACGUGUGGUUUGGAGAAUGGUUGACUAUUAUUAAGUUUGAACGUUUCCUCAUUUAUUGUAUCUAAGUUUCGGUUUGUAUUGUGUGGUCCGGCUAUAAGUUGAAGGGAAUUGCUUGAGUCCUGGCGAGAGCUGGGCAGACGUCCCGCGGAUACCCUUUGGUUCCCCUUAGGGAGAAGUGGGGGCGUCACACUAACAACUGAUUAUUAUUAUUAUUAUAUAAAUCGGUUAAGCCUGUGUAUGAGUGCAAAUCAUUUUCGACCAGGUAAAGGCGUUAGGCUAAACAAUUUAAUGUACAUAUGGUAUAUUCCUCCGAUGAACAUUUACUUCUUAAAACUUUGUUGAAACUUGAUUUCUUCUGGAUAUACCCUUUAAAAUAUUUCAAUCCUGUGUGUUUUACAACUGCUUUGAGUCACCUUCAAAAGCUUAAUUAGCUAGAUGCAACAGCACAUUGUUUAUCAGUCGGGGAUCUUUUACGCGAUUAUCUGGUGUCAAAUUCAGUGUCAAUUUCACUUAUCACGUGAGAGUAGAAUAAAUUUUAAAUAAAUCGUAUAUAACAAGUUAAAUAAUCAGGAUACUUGGUAUAAAUAUAGAAACAGUAUUGAAUGACCACGGAAAAAAUAGCACUAACGAUCUCAUGUGAUAUAUUAUUGGAUUUAACUACCUUACCAUAAGUGCUUUUUUAAAUCUUGCAACGUUGGAACCUAAUAUUGGCUAAGGAGUAGCGUUAUAUUCAAUCUUAUCCAAAUAAUAAUCAAACUUUUGGCCUUGGAAUUUGAGUUAAUUAGGCAAGAAUCUUGGCCUAUGCGUUUAAGGUGUUAGGAAUGUAUCCUCUACCUCUAGAUUGAGUUAAAAACCAACCAAACAUUGUUUUAGUGCAACAAUACCGCUUGAUAAUUGUCUCAUUUGUGCAUUACAGGAUUGAUCAAACAUCACAAUCUUUUAGUAGUAUCAUUUCUAUAUGACAUUUGGGACGAUAAUGUUUGUUUUCUACUGUAUCGUGUGUUUCUUUUUCUCCACAAAGGUCUUCUAAAGCAUGCAAGGAUGAGCCUAUAAUUUCCUUCAUAAUGGAUCAUUUGCUUUAAAGUAAGUAUGGAGUAUCAAACACGUUUCUCUUAAAUAUGAGGUGUUUAUGAAGAUUCAUCUAUCAUGGCUGAUCAUCAAGUGAAGUAACCUAAUUUAAUUGGAUAGCAUGGCUGUCAGAAUAAAGUUUGCAUGCUGUAUUUGUAUGUUCAUAAUUUUUUUUUAAUAUUUUUUUUCCUGGGUACAGUUUGGAUAAUUAGCAAAGAGACACUAUAAUGCUUAUCACAUUUGGCGUUUGGCAUCUUGGAGAGCAACUAGUCUGCCUAAAGAAAAGGGGGAAAAAAAACUAGUGUUAUUCUGACCAGCAUACUUUUUCACUUCAUGUUAGUUUAAUUUUUCUGAUAUACUAACAAUUUCAGAGCCAGUGACAAACUAACUAUUAGUAAAGUUGUGUAAAAGCAUUACAGAAUUACUGUUGAUAAAGAUAACCUAUCAGUAUGUUAUGCUCUAUCAGUCCACACGAGGUUAGUCUUCAAUAAGUAAUUAAUUCUGAAGUGAUCCUGUUGUCCAGUAAUUUUCAUAUGAAUGAUGAGUUGGUGGUACCUUGGAAAUUGGUUUAUUAAGCAAAUUAUGAGUAAAUUUGCUGCUUUCAAGUAAAAUAGGAGUGAAAUACUAAUACUAGUAUUCUAACCUGUGCUUAUGCAUGAGGUUUUUUUUUUUUUUUAAUUAUUAGUUGUUGAUCUUGGACAACCAUGAAUAAUUCAUGAAAAACAUAAAAACAAGUGUUCUUGAUUUUUAAUUAAUAUUUAUUCAAAAAAAUUUGUAUUUUUUUUCAUGAAAAAUAUUCUAUUUCCAGCAACCUUAAUGAAAUUACAAUAUAAAAAUGGAAGUCCAUAAAGUAAAGUCUCUCUCUCUCCAUAUGAGUAGAAGAUAAUUCAUAUUCACUAGAAAUGGCUUAUGUUGCUAACAAUACUAUAGAAAAACUUAGAAGUUUUCCUUUCUACCCCUGAACUUUCUUCAGGUUGCAUAGUGCCCCUUCAAGCAUCAAUUUCACCACUAGUCAUCCUCGAUAUAAUGAUUUUUUGGUGAUCUGCUACGAUUAGCUAGUUGUGAGCGGAAUUUAAUCAGCAAAAAGUUGUUAAUGUCCCUAGAUUUAGUUAACUGGCUAAAGUACCAUUUUUUUCCUAUUUUUAUACAAGUAAAUUAUGUACACAUGUCAAGAGUUUCUUUUUUUUUUCUUCACACAAACUCAAAAUUAUUAUCUUGUCUCUGUCUAUGUGUGUGUGCUUAUAACAAAGAAAGACUCGAUAUGCGUGUAUAAGCUAGUUGUAGAGGAAGAAGGACAUUUUGACCACUUAACUAAAUUUAGGGACAUUAGUGACUCUCUAUUUUCCUCUGACAACGAGUUGAUUGACGUACAUGGAGAAAAAUCAAUAGUUCAAGGAUGCAUAGUGCUGAAAUUUAUAGUUUUGGGGCACUUUGCAACCCGAAAAAAGUUAAAAGGGGUACUUUUCAAUCAACUUGAAUUAACCUUUUCUUUUUUUAAGUAAUCUUGAGAAUUGAUGAUGAUUGGGAAAAAGUCUUGUGUUGUACAAGCACAAUUUAUAUUUUUGUUCUGUAUAGUUUCAUUAGAGCACGUGAAGUGAUGACGAUUCUGGUAUAAAAUAUCAAGUACUUUAGGUGCAAACUGUUCAAAAUAGAAGUAUAAAAUGCAAUGUGGAGUAGUUGAUAAAUUUAGGAUUCAUAGUGUUCAAAUUAAAGUUAAAGGUGCAUAAUGCAAUUCUAUAAAAACAUAAAGACUGCACAUUGGAAUCAGUGCUAAUACAAGUUUUGGCACCAUUAAUGCAUAAUUAUGUUCCACAGGGAGAAGCAACCAAGUAAAAUCACUAUUACCAUGGGAAAAAAUACUCCCUCCGUCCCGUUUUGUUAGUCUUGGUUUUUUUUUCACACAGAUUAAGAAAGUGCAAUUAAUUUGGUUGGAAACAUAAAUUUAGAUUAAUAAUUUCCUAAAAUACCCUUAUGCUAAUCACGAAGAGUGUCAAUUAAUAUCAGUUACAGCUAAUGGGUUAGUAUUGGAAAAGCUCAAUGUAUUCAAUGUAGUGGGUUAGUAUUUAAUAACAAUGUAUUAAUAACAAGAUAUUUAAUAAGGGUAUUUUAGACAAUUUGAAAGAUUACUACAUUUCUUAAUGGGAAAGUGGACUACAAUUUGGGACAGACGAAAAAGGAAAACAAGACUAUCAAAGUGGGACGGAGGGAGUAAAACCGAACAAGAGUAAAUUCUUAUGUGCAUAAAAUUUUGUAUCAUUAGCUAUAAAGACUUCUAUUAAGUACUUCCUCCGUCCACUUUGAUAGUCCUGUUUCUUUUUUCACACAAUUUAAGAAAAAGUAGUUAACUUUGUUGGAAAAGUAAAUUUAGAUUGCUAUUUUCCUAAAAUAUCCUCACAUUAAAUAGAGUACAACUUUAUGGGAACUUGAAUUGAUGGUAAAAAAAGAGUCAACUCUCAUUAAAUGUGGUAGGUUUAUAGUAACAACAACUUACAUUGACUAAGGGUAUUUUAGGAAAAUUAAAAUACAACUACAUUCUUCAAUUGGAAAGUGGACUACAAUUUGGAACAGAUGAAAAAGGAAAACAGAACUAUCAAAGUGGGACGGAGGAGUAUACGUUUAUGAUGGAUAAGUUUGAGUUUUAAUGAUAUGUUACAAUCUUGUCUUCCGCAAACUGACUCUAUAAUAACAAUUUUAAAGUGCUAAUAAAGCAAAAGGAGAAUACAGUUGAAAGAAGAAAACCAAAGACCAGUUAAGUUUGUAAAUUCUGUCUUCAUUUAUUUAUUUAUUUAUUUUGUUUUAAAUCGAUGGAGAAUUGGAUCAAUACCUUGACCAAUUGUUAGUCUCUCUUUUAUAUCAAUCCGUUAGAUAUUUCACCUAAAAGUUCAAUUGAUAAAGAAUAACUAAAACACCACUUCUGAGUUCUUGUCCGCAAAUUUGUGUUUGAAGGAUAUAGCUGUACAAAAGUGAGGGAAAGACAUCAUGUAGCCAAUUUGAUGGUGUUCUUUGACUCGAGAUUUGGAAGUACGCACUUUAUAGAGAGAGCAAUAGGGGCUUUUUACACUUGAAAAUAAUGCAAGUAAAGUGCUGCAUAUCAUCAAGUUGCUAUUUUGCUGUUUUUCGACUCAAUCUCAAGUUCAAAUACAACCCCUUAACUCUUUAUCAUACGACAAUUCAAUCAAUCAGAAAAACACAUCAAAAAAGGGAUCCCAAAAGGAGAAAAAAUUUGAGACCAAAAAAAGAAAAAGUUUUGGUCCUUUCGAGCACGCAAAUUCAGUGCCAAUCCUUUUGUACUACUUCAGUCAAAACCUAUAAAAGAAAAAAAAUAUCCUCAAAAAAAAUUAUUAGAUAAGGAUAUACAAGCACUCAUGCGCAUUGUGUGCACGUAAAAAGAUUCCUGCCCUUUAUGAAAUUUCAUAGGAUGAUUGAUCUUUGGGGUAUCUGACAAGCUAAUGAACUCUUCCCAAUAAAUACCAAAAGAUGAACUGCAAAUAUCAUUUGUUUUCCUCAAAUUUUAUGCCUAUAACUUUUUAGUUGCGUAACUGUUCUCCAAAAAGUGCAAAAGAAUUGGGUCUUACUUCUUCAAUUCGCUUAGUAUGUUUGUUUGGUCAAUUAGUUUUCUAGCAUGAUUCUGAGUGCAAGAAAGCUCAUUAGUUCCUCAAUCAAAAUCAAGAACUUUAGAUUUAGAGUGAUGUGUAUGUUUUACAUCUUUAGGCUUCUUUUUCUUCUUAGCCGAGUAUGAGUAAGCUGACUAGUGGAUGAUCACAGGAAAAGGCUGUAUAUAAAGCAAAAGCAGAAACAUUUUUUUUCGCAUGAUUGAUACAGAGAAUUAAAGAUCAAGAUAUCAUGUUGUCAGAGACAUGAUCAAUCUUUGACUGAAACUUUUUGAUGAAAAUGAGAUUGUUUUGCUAUGUAUCAAUAAUUCAGCCCUUUUGUGUGAUGGAUCACAAUAAGUCUUUUCAAAUUCAUGAAAAUUGUAUCUAAAAAAACCCUUUUCUUGAAGCAAUGACACCUAUUGAAGUUCUUGUCCGUUGGAAUUCUCCUAUAACACAGCCAGUCAAAGAGGAAAUAGAUGUCCAAAAUGGAAAAGGAGGUCCAAUAGUGAAAAAGUCCUUUAGAUUUCUGGACUUUUGUGAAAGCAAGAAACAAAACAGUGAGAUGAAAUUAUAUUAUAUCAAUUGCUUUUGUGGUUCAUUAAUGUAGUGCUUGUAAUUCUGCAUGAAAUGUCUUAAAGGGGUUAUUCCUUGAUGAAGAUUAAAAAGUACGUACCAUCUAUUAUCCCUAUUUGAUUAUUGGCAUUAACGAGUAAAAAUUGUUAAUAAUGACUCCAAAAGUCGAUUAGUGAAGACCUUUUAGUGCACGAGUGAGUAAUUUGUGGGCCUUUGUUAGAAUUGUCAGCAACUUGCAGGUUGUCAGAACUGGAGUCAGUGGCAUGCAUCUUUAUAGUGGCAAACAUUUAUCAAAUUAUGCACCGAAUACUUAAUGGUAAUUGUUGUCUGUGACAUUUGCAUCUCUUUCUUCUUCACUAAGUAGGAUUCCGCAAGUCUUUCUUUAAUUGCUAGAUCUUUUGAUAAGGCUUUGUUUGUACUCUGAAGAUGUCACUAGGUUAAGGAUCAAGAAGACAAAAAAAUUUGGUGGUUGUAAAAUCUUCACUACGUAGGAUGAAGUUUUGUUUCCCUUAUAGAGAUUUGGAAUCCAUGUAGUUAUCUUCACAAUCCUAUCAUAGUAAUGCACUUUAUCGCUUAUUCAUUAAGCAUGCACUAUCCCACCUAGUGACCAAUCCCUAGUGUGACUAGUUCUGGAUAGAUCAAAACCCAAAAAGCAAUUGGGAAUAGAAGGGAAUAAAUUGUGGGGUGGGGGCAGCGGCGGAGCUAGGAAUUGCAAUUAGGGGGGCGAGUCUCUGUUAUUUGGACAAAGUCCAAAUAACUUUCAAACAUUAUUAUUUGGGUCCUUAGGAGGGGGCAAAGUGAAAAUUUUUAUCAAUAUUUGGGAGGGCAAAACAAUAUAAUAAAAAUUUUUUUACUUAGAAAUUUUUUUUUUUAACAAUUGGAAGGGGGCGGUUGCCCCCCUGGCCCCCCUUCCCUCCGCCCCUGGAUGGGGGUGGGGGGGGGGUAGAAAAUCAAUGGCCCCUGUGUUUUUUCGGUUUUUUUUUUUCUUUUGUGGGGCAUGUUCCUUAAUUGUUCUAGCUCGAUUUAAACCACGUCCAAGUUUGAAAGUUGAAACAAUUCCAAGGUUUCAUAUUUUGAAUCUGAAAAACCCUUUUCUAUCCUCUUCAUCUUGAUAGUAAAAACACACCAUAUAAUAAACCCACACUAUAUAACCAGAAAGGAAUAAUCAUUAAUUCUAGUUAUUAGUUUAGAGUGAUUAACAUUUUUAUCAGUACUUUUUGGUAUUGGUAAUAAUGUUGACUAAUCUUAGGCAACCAGUUUCGAACCAAUCCUUGAAAAUCUUUCACCUAUCGUCUAUAGCAUAGACUAUAAAAAAGGAAUUCUAAUCUCCGUACCAAUCCAUAUAGAACAUUUGAUUUUCUUUAUAUUAUAGAUUUUUGCUUCAAUAAUAAAAAGUUAUACGCUGACAAAGCUGUACUUUGCCUAGGUUGAAAAAAAAAAAAAAACUACGGUAAGAGGGCUUAGAACCAAUGUCUUCGAUUUCGAGUCAUGUCGGAGCUUGACUCUAGCCUGACAGGCGUUAUCUUUUAUUGAAUUGAAAUUUUACAAAAGAUAUUAGGUUAACGGUCAAAAUUAAAUUGUCGCAAAUCAAUAGUUUUGACUUGGCAUUUUUCACAAUAUUUGAAAAUUCAAACUUUUUAAUGCCAAAAGUUCAAAUAGUGUCAGAAAGAAUUGGUGAAAAUUUUAGAAAGAAAUAAGGUACAAAUUCAGUCAAAUGUGUGCUAAAUGUGUACAAGUAAUUAUAAUAAAUAAAAACGUGGAAAAAAACACACACACACAUAUAUACAAGUACAUACAUACACACACACAAACACAUAUGCACACUUUGAAUAAUCAGUUCGUAAUGAGAUCUAUCAAUUUCUAAGUUAUAUUAAUUAUUAAACACUCAAUUAAAUAUCCCUGUAAGGCACAAGAAAUAUCUUUUUUUUUUUUUUUGUCGACACAGGGGUGUUCGAGUCAAUUCUUACGGGGCCCGACUAAUCUCCUGCGGCCCAGGCCCGCACAAGAAAUAUCUACUAAAUGUAAAUUAAGUUCAUUAUUUAUUUCUAUUUUUACAUUUCCAUAGGUCAUAAACCAGCUUUCAAAUGAAAUAUAUUUUGUGUAAGAUUAUUUGAAUUAUCUAGUAAAAUUGUCAAUGUGCAUAGACAUUAAAAGAAGUACUUUAAACCUUUAUUGUUGGAAUGUUACAAUUUAAUAGGAAUAAAAGACUAGACAAAACAAAAAGAAACAUUUCCAAAAAUUCCUAAAAGCACUUUAUAUUGGAACCUAUGUUAACUAGUUAUUGCAACUAGCACUUCCUAGUAUAAUCAUUUGAAACUUAUAUGAACAAUUCUUGCAAGAAUUUGUGUUGUAGUAGUUAGAAUUAAGUUGGAUUAAAUUAAAUUUCUCCGCUUCUAAUAUAUUUAUGGUAUUCAUUGUCUACGUAUUUUUAUUCAAUUGAAACUUAUUUAGGAAAGAGGGUGCUCUUUAUGUUAUAAGAAAUUGUUGUUCCAGUAUGAAGCACUUUUACAGAAUAUUAUAAGGAUUUUUCAAUAAUUCUUUUUAGAUAUCACUAGUAUGCUAAGAACUUUAUUUUUUUUAAAAAUGAUUCUUGAGUUUUUUGUGUACUAGAUUGAACUUGUAACAACUUCUAAUUUGCAUUUCCUCAUUUUAAUUUAUUAUGGAUUUUGGAACACAUCUAUUUUUUGGAACACAUCUAUAUAUUCAAUUGAACUCUUACUUUAUUUCAUUUUACAACAGCAACUAUAUCUCUUUUGAAAUACCAGGGACCAUACUGACCAAACUUCAAAUAUUAGGGACUGAAAAUGUAAUUCAAACUUUUGAACAAGUGCAAUUUGAUUUCGACCAUUAGUUACUAUUGAUAGUCUAUUAAGUUUUGUUCUACUUUGCCUAACUAUUGAUAGUCUAUUAAGUUUUGUUCUACUUUGCCUAAAAUAAAAAUCUUAACGGACCACAUUAAUAUUGAUUGUAACUUUAGAGACCUCUUUGACACACAAAUUAAACACUUGGGGGCAAAAUUGUAUCACUCUAUAAAAUGAAACUUGCGCCAAUUAAUUGAAAGCAAACAGGAUAUAAUUGCAAAGUAAUACCAGUUUUUUGGUUUUUGACAUUAAAAAGUUUCAAUACCACGAGUUUGAGGGAGUGGGAGGGAAAAGAUAGGAGAGGAAUUGGAGGGAUUUAGUUUUUGUUGUUUGGAUUAAUUUUUUAGAAGGAAAAGAAAAGGAUAGGGAGGAAAAGGGAGGGAAAGGAUCUAGUUAUUUUGUUGAGUUAUGAUUUUCACCCACUUAGAGAUAUGAACCUAAAUUAAUUUAAAUAAUUUAAUUUUUUUUAAAAGAUCGUUUUUUCCUUAUCUUUUCCGAUCAAUUAACAUUUGAUCUUUUCGUUCUUUAAUCCAAGCAAAAUUUUAGUAUUUCCUUUCUUUUCCUUCCAUAUUUAAUCCAAACAAGAUGGAUGGAAAUCACUUUCCUCUACUCUCUUUUUCUUUCUUUUCCAUUGGUGUCCUUUCCAUUUGAUGAAGUUUUUCUAUCAUCCCAAAUUUAUAAACCUAAAUAUCCCUUUUUUGCGAGUAUACAGAUCGUUUAUCGAAUAUUGGGGAUAUUAGGUAUCGAUCCCAUAAGAAAAAUUGUUAACUACCAGUAAUAUUCAAACUCCUUUAUUAUUUUUUUUAUAAACUCUUUUAUUAUUUAAACUACCACAAUUAAAUAAAGUAUAUUUACUCUAUGAACAUGCAAUAAAGUAGUAAAAAUAGCAACAAAGACGUUACUAAAGUCAUGGAGUUUCCAACUACUCUUACAAAUGAAAUUAUCUGUUAAUUGAGGUUAUUUACCUUGGCUAGUUAUGGUGUAAUUUUAAUAUAUGUGAUAAACACUUUUGCCAAUAUGCCAACCAUAUCUAUAACUAUUCUACACUUACUAACAUGAUAUGAAAUUAGCUAUAGAUUCAUUAAAUUCUAUGAAAUUACAUGGACCAAGUCACCAAAGUUAUAAAUGUGCAACCCUACAUAGUGAGUUACUCCCUAGGUAUAAUACUUCCAUGAACUAGUGUUGGAUCUCAAAGUUAUUGAUAAAACAAUAGCUUUAGCUAAUCACAAUUAACGAUCAGUUAAUCAUAAUUAUAAUAGCAAAAGGAUUAAAUAACUUGCUCAAGAAAUAAGUUUAAAUAACUAUAAAAACCCCACAUAACAAUCAUAGAAGGUGCAUCCAAGGUGAAAUUAUUAACAAAACAUAAAGUAAAGGAAAACAAGAACCAAAUGAAGGAUUCGUGAUACAAGUGCAAGUUUAAUCCAAAUAUACCUAUUUGACUGUAAGUAUACAUGUCAAGUAGUAGUUUAGAAGAUAUAUCAGGUCAAUCCUACAAGAAACAACUAUUACAAAUACUUGGUCGUUUACUUAAUUUAUUAUUUAGACUAUCUAUCGAAUAAAGGAAAUAGGAAUAACAAUACUUACUAACUAACUAUUUUAACUAAAUAACUUACAAGACAACAAUGGAGAAAUGUCACUAAAUACUUGAAUCUAGGGAAAUAAAAUCCACUUAUGGCACAAAAGAUACAAGUGAAUAGAUUUAUAUCUUGGUAUGACUCUUGUUUAACUAGAGACUCAUUUCUAUAUUUACCAAAACUCACUCUCAUGAUGUAGUAGUUUAGAAUAGCAUAGUUUUCCCUAUUCUCAUGGUGAAUAACUAGAUUUACUCUUUUGUUCUUCAUAAAAUGCAAAGUUAAUCCAUUUAAAUGUACCUCUAUUUUCAUGAGUUUACUCCUUAAGCUCCAUUUAUGUUGUUCCAUCAUUAUUACCAAUUUUCAUUGAAUAAUAACAACUAAAAAUUUGCUAUUGGUGAUCAAGUAACAACAAGUAAUAAGCAUGCAUAAAUGGACAAGUUAAUACAAAAAGCAGUAAGUGUAAUCAUAUUCAACUCAUAUCAAGUAGCCAUAAGUUUCAUCUACUCUCUAGAUCUAGAACUUUAGCUACUCAUGUGAUAUAAGACAAUAAAGAGCAUAAUUUCAUUGCAUGCAAACAUAGUGAAUCACAAGUAAAGAGAAAGAUAGAGAAAACUUAACCAAGGUGAUGAACAAACUCCCAAUCUUCUAUUUCUUCAACAAAAUAAAUCACAAGUAAAGAGAAAGAUAGAGAAAACUUAGCCAAGGUGAUGAACAAGUUCCCAAUCUUCUAUUUCUUCAACAAAAUGAGUGAUACAAUGAAUUUUCCAAAUUUUUCUUACAAGUUUCAAACUAGAGAGAAUAAGAAAAUACUACCACUAAUUACUACCAAGAACUAGUAAGAGCUUCCAAGAACUCCCUCUCUCUUCAACAAUUCUUACAUAUAUAAUGUUAGGAGAGUCAAAAAGUGAAAAAUAGUAUAACAUAAAACUCUUUUUUUCUUUCCUAAGGAAUCUUGAGCAUGUGCAGCCAAAAUUCUGAGUUAAAAUUGAGUUGAAAGCAGUGUGAAAAUAGAGCAAUUUUCAGAACAAGUUGCAAAAAAUCAGGGCACAAUACGCGACUCUUCAAUACGCAACCUAAACCUGCAUAUUCGAGGUUACGUAUUGUCUUCUAGAAUGUUUUCUUGCUUAUUUUCUGCUCCAAUUCAUCACUAAUAUCACAUGCAAGAUGUCUAAGUGUUUGUUCAUGCAUUUCACUAAUAAUACUUGUAUUUAAUGCUCUUCUACUUCCCGAAUUGCCAUUGAAUCUAACACUAAUGAGAUCGCAUUAAAUCCAUUUUGAUCCAACAUUAAUAAUUCAUCUCAAUUCUUGCAAAUUUAACCAACUUUGCACAUUAAAUUGCUUAAUCGAAACUUACAAAAUUUAGAAACUUAGGGAGCAAGCUAGAUCUUAAAACAUCCUAAUUUAUACCAAAAAUAGGCACAAAAUGCUACUCAAAAAACAGUCAUAAUAAACACUUAUCACCAAACUUGUAUUAUAACUAAGCAUAUGAAUCAAUACAAGCAAUAAAGAGUAGGAGAGAUGUCAUCUUUGUCAUUUGAGAUUCCAUAGCUUUCCAUCUUCAUUUUCAACUUCAUCUAUACUUAGCUACAAAAAAGAGAGGAACUAAACUACACUACCCUGCUCUAUCCUAAAUUAAAGAUCUAGGAGCUUCAGAGCUAUAUUUGGUGGUAUUUCUCCUCUUAAAGCUCUCAAACUUAUGCUCAAAUGAAAGACACAACCCCUGUUUAUAGAGAAAUCUUAAAGCCUCUCUGUGUCUUCUCCAAUAUGAACUCUUGACAAAAGUUGGCUUCAAAAGUCAAGAUCUGUGGUUCCAUGGAAUCUAAAUGAUUUGAGAUGAUCAAAAGUGUUAUUGAUGUUGGCUGUCAUUGAUCUUCAAGCCACCAAUAUGUCCCAUAAAUUUUCCAACUAAAAGCAAGUAGUAUGUGACAAGAAAGAAUCAAGUUGCAUAAGUAGUGCAAUUUGCAUGUAUUUUUAAGCUGGAGAAAUCGGGGGAGAAACCUCAGUAGACUUAUGGGGAUUCUGGGUCGAUUUCUGUGAAGUGUUCUUCAGCAAAAUUGGAGAAACCACUCUUUUCGGAAUCCUCAGGUGAAAACAUUUUAGCUUCGUGUGGUUUCUUUCCCUGUCUCGGAAUUGCUUUUUAACUCUUAAAUACAUCUUUUUUUUCCUCUCUCUAUCAUCAUUUGUACUUCUUGUCAACUUUAAAUACACUUUAAAUCAUCAAAAAUUAUACAAAUACUCUGUAACUCUAAAUGAUGAUUGAAACAUUAAAAUUUACAAAAAUAGGAAGUUUUCGCCACUUAACACUAUAAAAAUGCUACUUAUUUUAACCAUAAGAUGCAACUUUUGACUAGAAAACUAAUCACAUAACUCCAAAUUAACCAAAAACACACAUAUCUAACUACACAAAAGUACAUAAAAUAAUCACUUAUCACCUUUCCUUUCUCUCUCUAUCCUUCAAUCCAAACAAUGCCUAAGUAAGCCUCUCACUUUUUUUUUUUCUCUCCUUGUACUUUCAUAAUUCCCGUCAUUGACCUGUGCUAUUUUGUUGUUCUUUGUCAAUAAGCUAAAUAGUCUGAUAUCUUUGGACGACUCUUGGAGACUUCGAUCAGUUCAAUUUUGACCUGAGGAACGACAACUCUACUAAAAAUCAAAACCAUAAAAAAAUGAAAAAAAUCCAGUUUUCUUUUCAAGAACGACGACCCAAUGCGCCAAUAUGUCGUCCAUUGUCUUCCAAUUGAAUCCCUAUGAUUAUAGUGGAAUAUCACGCAGGCCAUUCAUGAUACUAGCUGGAGUUUUGGAUAAAGAAAAAGUUGUGCCUACAGCUUGGAAACUGUCUCGAUUUUUCGGACACUAAGCUUCAUGGAGGUCCCUUUGUGAGUCCCCACUCGUCUCUGCAAUUCAUACUAAGGAGGGGAAAAUUUUUACGGCGAUCACUUGAGGCAGUUGCUAUUGAAGAUUCUAUUACUUGAAGUUUUAAGGCGAAGCAACCGGAAGAAGAGAAGGCAAACAGUGUUCUUCGAAAAAAGUUUAAGAGAAACUAAGAAAAACUUGAGCGCACUCAAUACUAGAGUUUCAUAAAUGUCUAGUACAAGAUUAUUUAAGGAGGAAAUAAAUCUAACAAAAAAAGAAAGAAAUAAGUAGGCCAUUAGGGCACGAAUCAUGUCUGAAUUGAAUAUUGGUGAAGCCCCAAAUACUAUAUCAAUGUAGUGACCCUAAAUGAUUUUACGGGUUAUUUUAUUUGGUUAGACUUGAAAUCCUCGGAUUGAUAUCCCACAUCAAAUUUGGAUACUUGGGAUUGCAUGUUGGAAGACUUCAAAAACAGUAGCGGAAUCCAAGGAUGAAUCGUAUAUAUUUUAUCAUAUAUUAUGGUAUUUUUCACAUUCAUUACGUCAAUAUCUACAUUUAUCUUGUUAUUGUGUAUAUUGUGCAUAUGAAGAUUGUUGAGAAUUUGCAUUCUACUUUAGACAAUGUUAGAUUUUUUGACAGCAUUAACAAUAGUUCAAUUGGUAACUAUCUAAGCUAUAAGCAUCUAAGGUAUGGUACUUGUAAUUGAUUAUUGUUAAAAAUAGCAUAACAGAUAUUUUGGACUAGUUAAACAUCGCGUAUUAACUGAUCGAAAUACGGGUUAGGUCGUGUGAGAGAAGGAAAUAUAAUUGAGCGAUUUCAGAUUCAAACCCUCCUACUUACAUAAAAAAAAUUAAAAAAGUGUAUUAACUAAGCAUUGAAAAUUAGAUUAUGGAAGUUUCAAAUGACUAGUCCAACAUCAUGACUAAUUUUAGCUUGCCGUCAAUAAAAACAAAAAUGCUUGAUCCCCAAUGACCCUUCAUCUUAGGCAGCCAAGUUGAUUGCUCAUUUACUUUUUUUCUAUAAUUGCUUGGGCAAUUUGCAAAGGCCUCAAAGGACACCAAUCAUUUUCCCAUGACAAAAUUGACUAGACCCUCUUUAGUUGGUGUCACUACAUUUUUUGCACCAAUGUCGGACUUGCGUUGCGUGACGUGACUCAAUGUCUAAGAUGAUUGGGGGCUGAUUAGAUGCCCAACAUUUCAUGCGUGGUGCUCCACUUUCUCAAGCUUUCUUUAAUUUCUGGACCGAUGCUUCAAAAAAAAAAAAAAUUUUCUGGACAGAGAUACCAAUUUCUCUUUAGAACUCAACCAGAUAUAUACAUAAAAAUUUCGUUUUUAUAUUUUUGUAUGAAAAUACUUGAAGACUUAUCCUUGAUGAAGUGAAAAAGGAAAAUGAGAAUAUCACAUAUGAAGUCACGUCUUAGAUGUGGUUGGAGCCGUGAUUGAUCUGUGUGGUCUGAAAGAAAACACCUCCAAAGAAGUGGCAAUGCCUAUUUUUCCCUUAUCUUUCCAUUGGUCACUCACGAUUAUAGUUCUAGAGAGCUGUCAAGUUUAUUUCGAUUAUGACUCAUGUCAUGCGUCCCGUCCCUCAACCUAGUUGCUAACUAUUUGGUUAGUAAUUGGUGGAAUUACACCUGAGAUAUAAACUUAAAAACCCAAAAAUUUUCGCCAUAUUGUGAAUUUUUUUAGUACCCACAAUAUACUACUUAACUAUAGUGUACUAACAUUUAGCUUUUGUUAAAGCAUUUUCAAACUCUAUCAUGGUUUCUCUUUUUCAAAAGGGGUCAAUUUUCAUAGCCUCUCUUCUCCCUUCUCUAUUUCUGAGUUCCUGAUCCCCCUUCUUUUCUAUAAAUAGAAGUAAUACAGUCAAUUUGACUAUAAGUCAAAAUUAGAUUAUGUGGCAUAGUGUUCUCACUGAUCUUUUUUUUCCUUUUUACCUUUUUUAACGUUGUUUUAAUAGAACUUGAUAUUUCUUGUGGUGGUUUAUGCUCAAGAAUUGAAGUGAUACUUGAUAUCGCGCUCUUAUACUCCUUUCAAUGUUGUGAUGAAUUUCAUGAGAAUAAUGGGUUAUAUGCAUGUUUCAUUUCAGGAUAAUUUAAUAACGUGCUGCAAGUUCUUUCCCAGAUCUCCCAUUCAUGAGAGUCAACAUUAAGGACUUAACUUUCUGGCCCUAGUAUUGUUCAUGCUCAACUAAAGCGCAAGAGAGUUUGUAUUAAAGGCUGCAUGAAAGACUUAUAUCAUAAUGAGGUACGCAAAUUGAACACUUGAUCUUAUAUAAAUUAAUCAAGUUGGCACUAAAAGUCCCUGGGAGCAUUCCAAGAGUUGCCGGCUUUUGGGUUGACUUCUGGGAUUAUGUUUAAUUAGUCAAAUUUCGUUUCUCGAAAGAAGGCACUAAAAGGUGGUUGCAAACCUCGCACAGUUUCUUUUUUUUUUUUUUUGGUUUUCAAUAUCUCCUAAUUAUUCAGAAGAGCCUACAAAUGUCUUAAAAUAGACUAAAAGUGCAAGCACCUUAGAAUCUAGUGAAAUGGAGUUGGUAAUGACAACAUCAUAGCCUAGGCAUCUAACUUGCCUACCUAAAAUUGAUCCUCAAAAAAGAAAAGUUAUUGUCAUCAUUUUUGGAGUAUCAGCAAUUAUUCAUCUUCAUCAUACUAUUUCUGAUUGACUGUAUAUAUAGUCAUUCAUCUUGUUGCUUUAUGUUCCAUGCUUUUCAAACUAUAAGCAGACAGCUUGACAUGAAACAGCCUAUAGCUGACACAAACAUCCCUGUAUUGCAAGCAAUGGACUUUAUCAAUUUGAUCAUCUCUUAGACAUAUUAAUCUUUUCAAUCCUUUCAGAAGAUCUAGAGAAUUGGUGCCAUGUCCUUCUUGCACGAAUCUGUCCAAACAGAUGCUAGUGAUCGCUCAAAUCAAUGUGUAAUCCCUAGACAUGGAAAUUCCUACACCACUGCUAGCUUGUAGAUGAGCCGCAAUAGAAGUUUAAAUGUGCUAGGGUUAGGAUAAACUAACUGACUUGGUACCCAUGAUAUUAAAGUUAAUUUGUAAGGUUAAAACGAGUUGGCAUAGUUGGUAAGACUCGUUCACAUUGCUUAAAUACUUGGUACAUCAGCAGUGAGCAUUGUUCUAUACAUGAUGUGGACUACCAUUGGGAAUAGUACUCCUAGUUUAUUUUCUUGCAUAUAUAUGUGAUGUGUUGAGGUUCGGUUUCUUGUUCCCCUACUUCGUAUAAUUAUAUAUUAAUAAAAUAAAAGUUGGCAUCCGUCUCCCUGGAGUUGCCAAAAAAGGGGAAAAAAAAAAAGAAAAAGAUGAGCACUGUCAUGAGCUGAAUAUAAGUGCAUGGUAACAAAUGCAAAUGAUAUUUCCAUAGCAGUACCCUUUUAGUCUAAAUUGCAUUUGAAUUUGAGAAGGAAAGUUUACAAUUUUAUCCAAAAACUACCAAGAAAUAAAACCUAGGUUGUGGCGUUAACACUAACCAUAACAUAAUUUUACACUUUCUUAUAUGGUUGCAUUAUUGUUGUAAUUAUAUGUAAAUGGAAUCUUUGUCUUUGUCGUUGCCUUGAUAUUGCUAGAGAGCGAAUGGGGCAAAUGCUUACUAUACGAUUAAAAAUGACUAUGGAUUUUUUUUAGUCAAAAUGAUCACUCAACUAAACACAAAUAGAGGUAGCAUUUUUGUCGCUUAACCGUUGAAAUUGUACAUUGUUCGUCACUCAACUAAUAAACCUGUCCACUCCUUACCAAAAAAAUGUAUAUUCAUAAUUGUUCAAUGACCAAUUUAGUUAAGUAGAGAGAGAGAGAGAGAGGAGCCGAAUGAACGAAUUCAUCUUGGAGUUUGUGGAUCUAGUUCAAAUGCGCAACAGUCAAAUUAAGAGUAGCAAGUGCUAAUCUUUUAAAAAAGUAAGGAAGAACUAAGAAAGGAUUGAUCUUGGAGUUAAGAGAAAUUGCCUUUUUAUUUUUUAUUCUUUUUGGUGUGAUAACUCUUUCAACCUAGAUAGCUAGAAAAUUGCAACUAACGGAUUAAAAGGAAAACGUAAAAUACAGCAGAACUCACCAUAUAAGUGGCAAAAUCUAUAAUAUUCAUCAAAAGCUCAAUGUGCCUCAAUAGAAGGUUUGUUCUAAAUUCAUACCGGUGCGUGGUGCAUCCGUUUGGUUUAAUGGUGGUUCAGUACCCGUCAAGUUCUCCGGACUCAGUUGGGUCUUCCCAUAGAGUAGAUUCCCCCCUCUCCCAUCUUUUAGGAGUAGGAGUAGGCUAGACAUGCAUUGUUUCGACAAAAAAAUAAAAAUAAAAAGCUCAAAGUAGGCAGAUCAAUGAAAGGCAUAAAGUGGGAAUCUUCAAAAAUAUUGUUGCAUGUAUGAUGAAAGAUUACUUAUACAAAAAAAACUUAGUGAAGCGAUCGAUUCUAAGAACUUAAUUCAUCGAAUCUCUUUCAGUUGAAAUUCCUUCUUAUCCCACUUGUGAAAGACGUUGUGUCACUAUUAAUCUGUAGUGAAAUCAGCUCCUGUUUGUUGGCUGCUAAGGAAUCUUACAUUCUCAACUAUCGCAUACAAGAUCAGCUUUUAAGAUCAUAAAUUCGUAUGGACAGCAGGUUGAUAAGGUAUAUUAAUACGUCAUAGUAUCGAUUGGAAAACCGGACUGAAAGAACAAUAGGCAGAAAAAAAAGAAAGGGACUUCAAUUCUUUUGAUUUGUUUUUUUGAAAACAAUAUGAUGUGAAUCAUUCCACUUGCUUUUCAGAGUACAGAUUCCGAUUUGUAAAUGUAGUGUUUUCGGAGGGUGCGAAGACAUUUUAUAUUUGAUUAGUGCCCUCCUAAUGUUUACUCUAGAUAACUUGAUAAAGGAUGGUAGAAUACUUUCCUAGAAAAUACUAAAGGUUUGGAUUGCAUUUUUCUGGAUUUUUUUGUAGAAAAAUUAUUAUAACAAUUUGAUACAUGUGAGGUAAAAAAGUGAUUGGAAAAUAUGUUUAUGAAAAACGUAGCAAUUUUUCUUUCCAAACAAUUAAAUGGCUCAAAUUGAAAUAGUUUGCUUGUUUUUUUCCUUUUCUAAGGGAUUCAAAUCUUGAUUCUUUUCUUGUCCUAAAAAAACUUUUUAAGGACUAAUUCCACUUCACCCUCCCUUAAUUGUAUCUCAUUAUCACUUUGUACCCUAAUCAAAUUUUAAUUGUGGACAUAUUAAGCUCUAAGCGGUCCAACUUGUAUCAUUUGAGUCCGUCGGUUGAACUGUAGGCAAAAUUAACGGAAGGAGCUUCAGCAUGAUGCGCAAAGGGAUACUAAUUGCAAAUCAGUAAAAGAAUUGGUUCCAUUUUGCAUAUCUUUAAUUCUCACUUUGUACCUCGUAGUUUUGGACACGUUGCACCUGAACUGUGGAUCCAUCCCAUUUUAGUCAAAUACUUAAGGCAUAAUUUCAGAAACCUCCCCUAAGGUUUCUGAGUAUUUCAUUGGCUUCCCUUCAGAUUUUGAAAUUACACUAACCUUUCCUGAAGAUAAUUAUCUUGUAAUAUUUAGAUCCAAUCGAUAAUUAAAAAAUAAUAUUAGGAGAUAGAAGAUAGUAUGAUUCUAUCAUUACCCCUCAUCUACUACAUUAUUUAAUUAAUUUAAUACCAACUCAUACAUUAAAAAAAACUAAAAUUUGUUGUUUAUUAUUAGGGAUCAAAUCACAUAUAAUAUCAAAAAAAUAGUAUAUUAUAUUAUAUUUUGAACUUAAUAUAAGAUCCAAAUUAUUCUUUUCAAUUACAUACCUAUUGUUAAACACGAUCAACAACAAAUAAUAAAAAAAUUGCAACCAAAAUAUUAUAGAGAACAAACUUUAACAUCAUAAAUAUUCUUGUCAAUAUAUUAAGGUUAGUUGUUGAGAUUUUUAUUGUAUUAAAAUUUGCUCUUUGUAACAUUUUGAUUACAGAUUUUUUUGAUUAUUUGUUAUUGAUCAUAUUUGACAAUGAAUUUGUAACUGAAAAUAGCAAUUUAGAUCUUACAUUAAAUAAAAUAUAUAGAAUGGUAUAUUAAUUUUGACAUCAUACGUGAUUUAAUUCAUGAUGAUAAAUAGCAAAUUCUAGUAUUUUUUUUAAUAUUUGGGUGGGUAUUAGAUUAAUUAAAUAAUUUAGCGGAUGAGGGGCAAUAGUGAAAUUAUAUUAUUUUCUCUCUCCUAAUAUCAUUUUUUAAUUAUUGGUUGGAUAUAAAUGUUACAAGAUAAUAAACGUCAAGAGAGGUUAGUAUGAUUUGUAAAAUUUGGAGGAAGGCCAGUAAAAUAGUCAGAGGAGAGGUUUCUGAAAUUAUCCCAAUAUACUUAACACCUUGAUCAGAACGUGGUGAGUUAGGAGAUCUCCAUAUUCUUCAUCCAUUGACUUUGUUAGAAAAUUAAGCAAAAAUAAAAAGCAAAAGCAAAAAUGCGUACUAGUGGAUCAUUAACAGCUAUCGCACAUUAUAGUUCUUCAUGCCAGAGGUUUUGGCUCUUUAAGUGUAAUGCAUUUAUUUUUUUCUUCAUCUCUCUUGCUGAUGGAAUUCAACAAACAAAUUGACUAGCUCCUUAUAUCUAGGCCAUAAUUUGAGGGCCAGCACGUUGGAAAUAUUUGAAUCUCCACAGUGCUACACAAAGUAAAAAAAAAAAAAAAUGUGAUCCAAAAAUAAGCAUCAGUCCAAGAGCAAUUUGUGGUUCUAAUCCUCCAAAUACAAGGAUUAAAAUUCAUUUUACUAGCAAGGUGUUUGGCAAAUAUGCCCGGAGAUGCUUGAACACUACACAUACGUAAGAAUUUGCAUGUCUAAGUGUACCACUGAAGCACCUUUAAUACCCCAACUUUUCCCUAGUGGUGGUCUGUCGUUAAUUAAACAAAGCUAGCACUAUCACAUUCUCUAAUAAAAAGGCAACCUACCCAUGAAAGAAUCAGAAAAACGAAACCGAACAGGCAAAUUAAAAAAAAGAAAAGAAAAAAGCAACCCUAAUUAGACCACAAAUUUCUUAUCUUUCAUUUCCUAGUCUUCUUAUUGAACUUGCUUACCAGAUGACUCUGCUUUAUCUCGAAGCCUCAAUCGUCACGUUUUGUACUCAUGAGUUAAGAUAUAAUUGGCUGAGCUCGGUGGAUUUAGCAAUCAUUAGUGUUUGAGGCAUGAGAGAUUAAAUUGGUGAGAAAUUUGGCACGAAAUCUUUCAAAUGUCAUGGCUUAACUUUGCACUAUCUCGACCAUUUUUGACUUUUUUGAAACUCAAUUGAUGUCAACUUUCAUUAAUUUAUUUCUCAAGAAACGGGUAAAUGAAACAAAUGUAGGUUCAAGCAUACAAAAGCCAUCAUGACAUAACAGCUUGUACUAACUAAAACCUCGAAGACUAUUGAGGGCGUGCGGUUAGUUUUAUUAGAUCAGCAUCAUAUUGAUAUUAAAUGGAUUUCAAAAUUUUAGUUUAUUAGGCUAAAAGUGCUAAUUUUUUUGAAUAUCUUUGGAAUUCCUCUUCAGAAUUUGUCAAACAACUCGUGCUGGAUGAUUUCCAACAACUUCAUUAAUAAAAUUUGUCUGUCUUUUUAUAUUAAAAAAAAAAAACACCUUGAAGAUUAAGCAUGCAAAUUCUAGAACAUCUUUAACAACCCUUGUGUACGAAAUCUAAAUCAAAAUGCUUCUUACCCCAAUUGAGUACAUCUCCACAUCAGGAAAAAAAUUCCCGUCAACACACAUGAAAAUUUCAAGAUUUUCUUUUCUCUCUUUAAAUAUUUUUAUAUAGAUUCAUUUGUACUCAAAAUUGAGUACACUGUAACAUGACACAAUGAAAUACUUUAAUUUCAUGUUGCAUCCGGACUUGUGAGACUGUAUUGCAUAUAUAUCACACUCAUUAGUGCGUACAUUAGCUUUUUACAGCACUUGCGAUCCACAAUGGACAGAAGUAACAACAUUGCAACACAGAUUAUUAUCUUUAAUUAAUUAAUUGAAACUUUCGUGGUACAUAAUAAAUAGUGGUACAUAAUAAAUACUCUUUCUUUUAAUUUUUUUCGUAUAGUGUUAAUAGGACGAUUUUAACUCGAGACAUCUCAUUUUCACUCAUUUAUUCUGUUACACAACCCAUCCCAUCCCUCUUUCCAAUUCUAUCAAGUCUACCAUAUAUAUAAUCACACUAAUAAUUACUACUCUUCUUUGUACUUAUACAUUUUUUAAAUUCUACCUAAUGAAUUCUUGUUAACACAUUUAAAUUCUACCAAACCUGUCAUGUAUGUAUCCAUACUAAUAACUAAUAUUCACCUUUAUAUUUAUACAUUUUUUCUAAUUAAUAUUAUUUUUUAAAAAUUUAAUGUCUAAAGUGUAUUUUAACGAGCAUCCAAUAAUACCGGUUAAAUACAUCCUUAACAAUUAAGUGCAUUUUUAUCUCCUUAAUAAUAAUUGAGAGUCCUCUGUAUCCGUCCGGUGUGCAAGUCCAGAUAGCUACACUAACGAGUAACAAACCGCUGUUCGAUACAUGGCAGGCGUCUAAACGCCGCAUCUGAGAAUGACGAAAAUGUGGGGCCCCCAGGUUACAGAUGUACCCCACCACCACCACGACCUUGAUUAGCAUCAGCAUUGCACUAAUUUCACCUUUUGUUUUGUUUUGGGAGCUCUCAACUAAGUGGGUCCCAGUUAAACAUGCCAAAGUUCCCCGAUUGCUGCCACGUAGAACCCACAUGAGCCGUUUAUGGAUAUGUACACAACAUAUCAGAAUAUUCAAUUUAGACGAAGGGUAUCACGGUAUUAGCUCUCACGUGCGACAGGCACGGGGAGAUUUUGAUGCUCACAAAUUGAGUUGUUGUCCAAUUUAAAUUUAAAUCGGUUGUGUAAUUUUGAUAACAUUUGAUGUAAAUUGACUUAAAAUUUGAGUUUGAAACUUGUAUAACUGUGUGUACAAAAAUCACUAUUAUAUUAAAAUUAUACGUUUUUUGCAUUUUAUGUUUAGAUUCAAGCAAUUGAUAUGAACUGAAAUUUACGUGCUUCAAAUCCAAUUUGAAUCGAGCUUUUAUGAUUGCGAGUGCUAAUUACACUAUACAUUAUCAACAAAAAUAAAAAAAAUUAAGAUAUUAAGCCAACAAUUUAAUCAAGACAACAAAUUCAGAUAUUUAAGAAAAUAACGUAUAAAAAUAUAAAGAAUUUAUUUUACUUAUUAACAAUAAUAUAUUACAUGAGUAAUCUCAUCUAUCCAAUUUCAAAUACAUCUCAUUUGGACCACCUUUUGUGUGGUGCAAUCGUUGUAGCAAAUUGCAAUUGCUGAGAGUUCCUCUCGUCAGAUUCUCCACACGCAUCUUUUUCACCGUUAAAAAACUUCAUAACCCAUUUGGAUUUUUGAUAGUGGUCCUCGUCACGGGCGCUUAUAAAUAUGUAGCUUCUCUGACGUUCACUCCUUAGGAGAAACACAGAGCUCUUCAAGUGUUUUCCUCUCUUUCUAACUCCUCAUACCAAAUAGUAACUCUCUUUUCUUCCUUGCUUCUUAGUUAUACUCUACCAUCUCUAGACCUCUAGUUUUAAGCGAGAAACAAAAUGGAGGGAAAAGGAUGUCUUGGCAAUUUUUUCCACAGUGCAAAACCUUACUUUGCCAUGAUUUGCUUGCAAUUUGGUUACGCUGGCAUGAACGUUAUCACAAAAGUGUCCCUUAAUAGAGGGAUGAGCCAUUAUGUCCUUGUGGUUUAUAGACACGCUUUUGCCACUGCUGUGAUUGCUCCCUUUGCGAUUUUCCUUGAGAGGUAUUCAUCAAAUUCCUUGCGGCACUUUUCAGGUCUUGAGAUCUCAACAAGAAGCUAACGAUGGUUACCCUUUCUUGAUUAUUGCAGGAAAGUGAGGCCAAAGAUUACAUUUCCAAUUUUCAUGCAGAUUUUUGUUCUAGGACUUCUUGGGUGAGUAAGAUUUCAAGAACAUAAUUAAAACUUAAACACACAUUUGGUUAGCUUGUAAAAUUACACGUUAACAAGAUUGCUUGAUACGUGUCAUAGUUUUUACUUUCUAAGUAACCAUUUGAAAAAUCCAAAAUAACUUAGUUCCGGAUUUGGCAGGCCGGUGAUUGAUCAGAACUUCUACUAUGCUGGGCUCAAGUUUACGUCUCCAACUUUCUCAUGCGCCAUGAGUAACAUGCUCCCUGCAAUGACAUUCGUCAUGGCUGUCCUCUGCAGGUAUCUAGACACAUUAUACUUCUGCUUUUUUUCUCGUAUUUUUUUUUUCUUGAAUUAGCAUGUUAUGAAAAGGGAUCGUUCUAAUCCGGUAUUGGUGUAACAGGAUGGAGAAAGUUCACAUAAAGAAGAUCAGAUGCCAAGCAAAGGUGAUAGGAACUGUAGUCACUGUUUUUGGAGCCAUGUUGAUGACAUUGUACAAAGGUCACGUCAUCAAUCUGGUUUGGUCAGAGCAUGUCCAGCCUCAUUAUUCUUCCGCACCAGCAGCUGCUGCAAUCUCUGAUAAAGACUGGGUUAAGGGCUCCAUUCUCCUGAUUCUUGCCACCCUUGCCUGGGCUUCUUUCUUCAUCCUUCAGGCCUUUACAAUGAAAAGAUACACUGCUCCACUCUCCCUUACAUCGCUUGUGUGCUUCAUGGGAACUUUACAAUCUAUUGCUGUCACAUUUGUGAUGGAGCACAAGGCCUCUGUCUGGACAAUUGGUUGGGACAUAAACCUUCUAGCUGCUGCUUAUGCCGUAAGUAUCUCACUUUCAUCUUUCCAAGUAGAACCAUAAAAGGCCAAUCUGCCCUCUACCAGUUACUUUUGGAUAGUGUCAAAGACUAAAAGGAUGCUCUUUUUUUUCGCGAUCGCAGGGUAUUGUUUCGUCAAGCAUUGCAUACUAUGUUCAAGGCCUAGUGAUGGAAAAAAGAGGGCCAGUCUUUGUGACUGCUUUUAGUCCAUUGAUGAUGAUAAUCGUCGCAAUCAUGGGCUCUUUCAUUUUGGCUGAGAAGAUAUACGUUGGAGGGUAAUAACUUAUAACCUAAAUUCAGAAACAUUAUAUGCUAAAAAUAUUUCAAUUUGAAAGAGCUAAGCUAACUUUUUUUUUUUUUUUUUAUGCCUGUCCUGUUUCAGUGUUCUUGGGGCAAUUUUGAUUGUGUUUGGACUUUACUCUGUUCUGUGGGGAAAAUACAAGGAAUACCAAGAGAAAGUAGCAGAUAUUAUUCCUGAAGCAGUCAAGGGAGGUGCAGGAAAUAAUAGCCAAAGUGUGCUGGCCAUAGAUGAUGAUAUUGAAGCCAACAUUGUGGAAAUGCAGAAAGCUGAAAUCAACAAAUCCGCUGCCCCUGCCAUAGCCAUUAGUGCUCCUGUGCCUCAGCCUCCCAUGAUAGCUCUGGAAGCACCAAAGGUCUAAACAAGAAUGAAGAAGGAAGCUGAGGAGAAAAGGAAAAUGAAAUAGUACGGGAGAGGGUGAGGGAUAAUAGAGAGAAUAGAGAAGCUAAGAACUUGGCGAUGGAAGAGAAGAACAGCUGGGCAUUUUUGGUCCUUUCAGUCUUAACUCUGGUUUCUUUUUUUUUUUUUUUGCCCUUCUGGUAUUUGCUCUGUUUCUGUACCUCUUUUUCUUUCUUUUUUGCUUCUUCGAGAAAAAGGAGGUUGUAACUUUCAUGUAAGCUGAUAUGUUGUAAGAAAAUUUGAAGAAAUCAAAAGAAGUUUUUGCAAUAGUGAUUCUGAUAAACUUCUUCUCUUUUCCUAACUGCUUAAUAAUUCAUUUUAUUUCAGACGUUAAUCAACAAGUAAAUUAGCUAAUUAUAAUUCUUGACACGGAAAUUCUGCAACAAAAUGUCUGUCUUUGAACACCAUCUAAUCGAUGCUUUUUAGUUUUUGACUAACUUUUCUUUCCAGUUAGCGGUUAGAUAGAACACCAAAGUCUUCAAAACACCAAAAAAAAAAAAAAAAA
rnacentral:lncRNA from 1 species